rnacentral:lncRNA from 1 species
UACCUGUGCCCAACUGAAGCAAUUGACCAGAGAAUGCAAUGGCAAAAACAGGGCUCUUGAUGAAGUGCGAUUUGAACCAUGUGCAUCUAAAAGCCGUAGACGUGAUGGAAGCUCUGGAAUUUGUUCAAGAUUGUUGCAGUGACUAAGGUUAAGGACUUCCAGCCUGGAAAGCUGAUUGAUGGUAGUAGGUAUGCUACUAAAAUGACCCUGUUCCAGAUUUAGUUUCUGUAAUGAUGAUAAAUGGCAAAUAUCACUAGGAAUUCCUCCUUCCAUUAUGUUGCAGUGACCUAGGUCCAAUUCUUUCAAUGAUGAUAAAUGGCAAAUAUGAUUAGGGAUUUGGUGGAGCUUUAAACACUCUUGAAGUAGGAGAGUUUGAAGACCAUUUAGAUGUGUAAUUGAUGAUGGUAAGUCCAUUAUAGCUGUUCCACUCAAAUCAAGCACCCUUAGCUCUCUCAUAUCGCCUUUGAUUUCUGGAAAUCUCUCUAGCUUUGAACAGCCAUUGCAAGACAAAGUUUGAAGGUGUUUCCACUUGUAAAUGCCUCUUGGAAGAAGCUCCAGGUUUACACACCCUGCCAGAUUCAAGGGAAAAAGAAAAACCAAGUUAGUUUUAGUAAUUAUAAUACUGCUGCACCAAACUUUUAAGUACCGUUGUACAACCUUCUAGAGUUAGAAUCUCCAAGUUUGGCACACUUGAGAAGUCUGGGAUUCUUAUGAGAUGGACAGAGUGACUGAGAUCAAUAACCCUCAACUUGUCAUGAAGCUGUAACAAAAUAAUUUUUUUCAAUAGAUAAAUUUACACGUUAAAAAUUAAUAUAAAAUUAAACUGUAACUAAAUAAUAAUAACAAUACCUUAUUGCCCCUCCAAACUUGCUUUAUAUUGCUGUCCCUUAAUGAGAGUUCAACAAGGUUCUUUGCAUGAAAAUUCAUUGGCAAAGAUUCUAAAGGGUAUCCAUCCCAAUGCAGAUAUGCUAACUCAUAGGAAUAGAAUUCAAAGUCCCUUGGAAGGUGGUCUUUAAGAAAUAGCUUUCUACGAGGGUUAUGGAUUUUGAGCAGUCUAAGUCUAUUCAUCUCUUUGAAAGAUUCUGUAGUAAGCUCUGAUGGAUUAAAUUUACAUCUAUCUAAGAAUAGUCCUUCAAUUGCUCGUGUCCCCUGAAAAAUAUAAGAUGAGUAGGUGAAACAAAAGAUGCAUUAGGCUUAAUUGAGUUAUACACACGGCUAAUUUCUGAAAAAAAUAAUAAUAGUAAUGAAGCUUGCAUACACACGUAUAAACAAGUUCAUGCAUUUGACUCUUACCUUAUUUCCUGUUAGCACAUGAUAGGCAUUAGAAUCGCAUAAUCUACUCCUUCUUCCAGGGUCUUCCGGACAUUCUUGACGAAUAAUCUCCCAACCCAUUUGUUGUAUUAAAUCAUGCAUAUCUAGCAUGUUUUUUGAAACAGUUAUGAGACAUCUAUCAUCUAGAGUUGUUAUUGCGUGCUUUGCAUGAGGGCCCAAUAUUCUUGAAACAAAAUCUCUAUCAUCUCCUUUGAAAAAGCAUGCAACAUCCAAAAAUAUCCCCUUGUCUAUAUCAUCGAGUCCAUCAAAACUUAUUCUAAGUACAUUGUGAAUUUCCAUGUGGGGCAUUAUUUUUAGCUUACACAGUGCACUUUCCCAAUUACUUAUUUUCUUUCCAAAAAGAGAAGCACCUAAAACUUUAAGUGCUAACGGAAGGCCAUUAGCAUAAUCUAUGAUAUUGUAUGAGAGAUUUUUAUAAACUUCUUGGGGACGAUUUUGUUUAAAGGCCCACAAACUAAAGAGCUCAAUAGCUUCUUCCUUGUUUAAUUUUGAAACCUCAUAUCGUAUAUCCGCUCCAUAUUGAGCAAGUACAUGUUUGUCUCUAGAUGUAAUGAUGAUUGUACUUUUUGCCCGAAACCAAUCCUUCUCUUCAGCCAAAUAUUCUAGUUGUUUCAACUCAUCCACAUCAUCAAAAAUAACAAGAACUCUAUUGGAGCUUAGACACCUCUUUAUCAUACUAAUUCCUUCAUCAACAUUGUUUAUUUUAAAAUUUUUUCCCCUUAGGAUACCAUGAAGAAGUUCUUGCUGUAACUGAAGUAUAUCACCUUUGGAUCUCUCUUUGAUAUUUAUAAGAAAGCUACUACCAUCAUAUUGAUGUGAGAUCUCAUUAUAAAUAGCCUUGGCGAUAGUAGUCUUGCCAACCCCACCAAUUCCAUAUAUCCCUACGACACUAACCAUAUUUAACUCAGUGUUCAUCAACGAUUUCAAUUUUUCCAAAUGAACACCAAUUCCAACUAUGUUCUUUCCCACACUUAAAGGUUGAUGGUUUAAUCUUCUAAUGAUUGUAUCAACAAUUUCCUUGACAACCUCGGUCUCAUACCUGCCAAUCAUAUAAAUUAAGUACAAUGAUGAGUUAGAAUGAGUUGCAAAAUAUAAUAAAUUUAAAAUAAAUUUAGUCUUGUAUGGCCGUGUCCAAUAUUACUGAAUUAGUAGCAAUGGAAUGAAAAAGAAAGGGGUGAAGCCAAUUUACUUACAUAUUUAAGCUUUAAAAUUUGUAAGUAUCAAACUACUAAAAAUGUGCCAAGUUGCAAAAUUUCAAUACUCUUACUGUUAGAGCAUUGUGUAGGACUCCUCUAUGAACAAGCUAAUGCCUUCUUUCAACUUUGAUUUCACAAACAACUUGCUUAUGAUUCCUCAAUUUCACUUGUCUUUAGGUUUUAUUAACUUACCAAUACUUACCAAUGUUGCAAAGACUCUGUUUUUAGCCUGCCAAUUAAUUUUGCAUUUCCAUAGAGGAAUCAGGAAACAAGUGAAUGUGGAGAAUUUCAUGAUUUGCUUGUUGGUUGGGAACUUAAAUAUGAUUUGCUUUAGAGAAAAUUAUAAAAGGGUUAAAUUUUGAUACUUGUAUUUUUGGACCAACACAAGGGAAAAAUGAAAGUCAGAUUUUGUUGACAAUUUCAUACUUACUGGUCAUUCACAUGGCAUCCAGAUAGAUUAGCUGCUUUUCUCAAGGCAAUCCUCCACUUUUGUAUCAUCUCCUUCUUUUCUUGAUUUGCAUCUCUUUCAUGGUAGGCAAGUGCGUCUCCGAAACUCCCCCUUUGGUUUCGUACAUCAGAUGGAUCCACAUGGUAGAAAAUUGGUAGAACCACUGAUUCCUUUUGGCUCUUGCGUUCAAUGAUCUUUACGAGUUCAUUUAAACACCAUCUGGAGUAAGCAUAAUUUUUUGAGAAAAUAAUAAUAAAAAACCUCGAUUCUUCUAUAGCUCUCAAGAGAUCAGAUGCAAUAUCUCCUCCUUUCUCAAGUUCUUCAUCAUCUCUGAAAGUUUGAAUUCCAGAUGCAGUCAAUGUGGUAUAUAGAUGAUCAGUGAAAUUUCUGCGAGUAUCGCCACCUCUAAAACUCAAGAACACAUCAUAAUUACGAGAAAUAGAAGUAGUCGAAGAAGAGGCUCUAUGGGUGCUGGAAGAAGCCAUUUUUGGAUGGCUUGAACCAAAAUUACAAGGGAGUUUGGAGGGUCCUUGGAUGCUCAAUGACUAUUGGCUCCAGACCUCUUCACCAUGAACAAAAAUCCAAGCUGGGAGGGAGGUUCAGCUGAAAAGCUUCAUCUGCAGUCGUAAAAGAAAAGAAAAACGUAUAUAAAGCCCUCUUUGAGAAAUUUCUUUGUAUAUAAAUUCUAAGAGAAACUCACACAUAUUUUACCUUUUGGUUGGGGAAGAUCCUUUCUCCAUUCCCUUUGUGUUGGAGACUGCAUUAAGGGAUGCAGAGAAGAUGGUGGGGAAGGUGUUGAAGAAGAGGCGGUGGGUAGCAGAGGUCUCGUUGACUGGGUGGAUGGAAUCGAGGUAAGGAAUUCUAAUAUUUUGAAAUGAAAUUUCAUGGAAGGUGUUGUUUUCAGUUUUUGUUUCCACAAAUAUUUGUGCGCGGCACCUAUGAUGAUGAGAAAUCCCUAAUUAAGACUAAGUAAUAUUGCUUUCCUUUUUAAUUAAUCAUUUAUACUUAAUUUUUUUCCGUCAACUUAAGUAUUUUGAUAAUAUUAUUUGUUAUAGAUAUUGAUGGGAAAAUUCUAUCAUCUUUCUAAGAGAUUUAUUAGAUUCUUGUUGGAAAUCCACGUCAAAGUAGGCUGCUAACUAAAAGUUAAUAGAGGUCUGUGACUUUCACAUUAAAAAAUAGUUGGAUUGAUGUAGAAAAGGCAAACCUUCCCCCCACACCCAAAUGUAAUAUUUCAUUAUUUUUUGUAAUUUUAUUUUUCUCUCUAGUUCCUAUAUUUGUACAACUUCCUCCUUUAGUUUAGUUCCUUUUCUUUGUAAUAUUUAUUUUGAUAUUUUUACAACUUAAAUUUAUGGAAUAUCUUUAUUUAAUAAUUUUUAUAAAAAAUAUUAAGUUUUUAUAGAUAUAUCAAUAUAUAGGUUUUACAUAUAUAUUGGGAUAUAUAAGGAAAUAUCGAUGAAAUGGAAAUUGAUCAAAAAUUAUAAAAAUAUUCAAUAUAAUUCAAUAAAAAUGAAUAUUAGAAAUAAUAAUAAACAUUUUGAUAUUGUUUUGUUAAAAAAAAAAAAAGAUCGAUAUAUGUAUGAUAUAAUUUAUAAUAUUCAAAAAUAAUAUUUAAAAUUAAAAAAAAAUUAUAUAAACAUAUCUAAUUUGGAUGUAUUUAAUGACAUAAAAAAUUAUGAUAAAAGUAUUAGUACUUUUAUUUUAAAAUAUUGACAAUUUUAUUUAUAAAUUUAUAUAUGGUUAUUUUAUAUUUAUUUAUUAUACCAAACAUAUGAUAAUUAAAAUUUAUUCAUUUAUAUAUAUAUACAAAAAAACAUAUAUUAAUUUAUGCAUAUGUAACAUAAUUUAUAAUAUAUAUAUAUAAAAGAGAAUCUUAAUAUAAUAUACAUAAAUAAACAUCGUAUAUGUAAGUCAUGCAUUGCAUUAUAAUAUUAACAAACUUAGGUCGGUGGCGUGCUGCGCUCACGCAAUGCCUGAGGUCAUGGGUUCUCAAACCCAUCCUUCCACUAACGAUUCUCUUUUUUAAUGUUAAGGGGUGGAAUCCCACAUCGACCAGCCAUAGCACUCAAAGUUUAAAUCUUUUUUUAACGGUAAGAGGUGGUAUCCCACAUCGGCCGGCCACAGCACUUAAAAAACCUGCUCAUAGACCCUUCUACCGACGUAGACGCAAUAUUUUCCAAAAAGGCUGAUGUCUCUCCGAGCCGAGAUAUCCACCUGCUGUAUCGUGUCGGAUGUUACGGACAGAAGAAAUAGUUCCAGCUACUUUCAUCUUGAUCAUAUCUUCAUAAUUGAUUAUUCAUUUUGAUGUUUUACUUCUAAUAUACCUGACAUUUUAGUUUGGUGUUUCGCUUAGGCUUUGAUUACGGAACUAUUUCUUAUAAUUAUUGGUAGGAAAUUUCCUAUGGUCUUCCAAGUAGGCUAUUUACAAAAGAUUGAAAAAUUGAAAAACCUCAAUGUCCUUUCACAUUUGAAGAUAGUGAAAUUCAUAUAAAAACAAUCAAUACUACAAAAAUUUGUAUGAAGAUAAUGCUAUUUAAAGAAGGUUAAUAGACCUUGAUGUCCUUUUAUAUUGAAAGAUAAUGAAAUUCUAUAUAAAAUAUUAAUAAUAAUAACCAACGCUACAAAAGUUUGUGUGAAGGCAGAGACCAUUUACAAAAGGUCAAUAGACCUCAAUGUGCUUUCACAUUGAAAGAUAAUGAAAUUCACAUAAAAAUAAUAAUAAUAGUAACUAAUGCUAUAAAAAUUUGUAUGAAGACAAACUAUUUACAAAAGCUCAAUAGACCUUAAUGUUCUUUUAUAUUGAGAGAUAGUGAAAUUUAGAUAAAAAUAUAUAUAGCCAAUGCUACAAAAGAUUGUAUAAAGGCAAACUAUUUAUAAAAGGUUAAUAGACUUUAAUGUCCUUUUAUAUUGAGAGAUAGUGAAAUUUAUGUAAAAAUAUAGUCAAUGCUACAAAAGUUUGUAUAAAGGCAAACUAUUUAUAAAAGGUUAAUGGACUUUAAUGUCCUUUUAUAUUGAAAGAUAGUGAAUUCAUAUAUACAUAUAUAUAAUAAUAAUAAUAACCAACACUACAAAAGUUUGUAUGACAGCAAACCAUUUACAAAACCUUAAUAGACCUCAAUGUCCUUUCACAUUGAAAGAUUGUGAAAUUCACAUUAAAAAAAAAAAAAAAAACCAAGCAUAUAUAUAUAUAUGGUAAUGUGAUAUUUCAUCUUAAUUCCUCUUUUAUUUUCAUCUCUUGGUAUUGAAUAAUAUAUUCUUCAUUUCUACAACUCUUUCUUUUUUCUUAACUUUUUUUUUUUUUUUGUACUCAGUAACAAUGGGUUCAUUUGACAUUCAUUCAAGAUCCUCCUUGUUUUGUUCUCAAAUGAUUCAAAAAAAAUGAUACCAUAUAAGGAAUUUCUUAAAUAGAUGCUUGUAAAAAUUAUAUAAAAUUUAUUAAAAAAAAAUUAAAAAUCAAAGAAAUAUCACUCCUUUUCUUUAAUUUUUAUCCUUUAAUCAUUGGUGCAAAAUGAUAAAAGUGCAAUUAUGCUUUAUUUGGUACUAAUAAGAAUUUCAAAAUCUCUUCACCUCAAGAUAUUGAAGUUUAGGUAAGAAAAUAGAUGGAUAAAAGUAUGACAUAAAACUUUUUUUCCCCAUUUGGAAGGUGUUUGUAGUUAAAGUAAAUAUAUAUAUAUAUAUAUAUAUAUAUAUAUAUAUAUAUAUAUAUAUAUAUAUAUAUAUAUAUAUAUCAAGUGGCAUAACAAAAAACAUAGGAUUUCCAAAAAGAACUUAAAAUGCAUUCAUCAUGCAUGUAGCUUGUCCACCGUAUUUCUUCAAAUAAUAUUAUUAUGGUUUGUUUGCAGUAUAUUUAUUAACAUAAAAUUUUAAUCAGAGAAAUGCCAAAAAAAAAAAAAAACUCAUUUUGAUCAUAUCUUCAUAAUUGAUUAUUCAUUUUGAUGUUUUACUUCUAAUAUACCUGACAUUUUAGUUUGGUGUUUCGCUUAGGCUUUGAUUAUGGAACUAUUUCUUAUAAUUAUUGGUAGGAAAUUUCCAAUGGUCUUCCAAAUAGGCUAUUUACAAAAGAUUGAAAAACCUCAAUGUCCUUUCACAUUUGAAGAGAGUGAAAUUCAUAUAAAAACAAUCAAUACUACAAAAAUUUGUAUGAAGAUAAUGUUAUUUACAAAAGGUUAAUAGACCUUGAUGUCCUUUUAUAUUGAAAGAUAGUGAAAUUCUAUAUAAAAUAUUAAUAAUAAUAACCAACGCUACAAAAAUUUGUAUGAAGGCAGAGACCAUUUACAAAAGGUCAAUAGACCUCAAUGUGCUUUCACAUUAAAAGAUAAUGAAAUACACAAAAAUAAUAAUAAUAAUAAAUAAUGCUAUAAAAAUUUGUAUGAAGACAAACUAUUUACAAAAGGUCAAUAGACCUCAAUGUCCUUUUAUAUUGAGAGAUAGUGAAAUUUAUAUAAAAAAAAACAACCAAUGCUACAAAAGUUUGUAUGAAGGCAAACUAUUUAUAAAAGGUUAAUAGACCUUAAUGUCCUUUUAUAUUAAAAGAUAGUGAAAUUCAUAUAUAUAUAAAACUAAUAAUAAUAACCAAUGCUACAAAAGUUUGUAUGAAGGAAAACCAUUUACAAAAGGUUAAUAGACCUCAAUGUCCUUUCACAUUGAAAGAUAGUGAAAUUCACAUCAAAAAAAGAAAAAGAAAAAACCAAGCAUAUAUAUAUAUAGUAAUGUGAUAUUUUAUCUUAAUUCCUCUUUUAUUUUCAUCUUUUGGUAUUGAAUAAUAUAUUCUUCAUUUCUACAACCCUUUCUUUUUUCUUAACUAUUAUUAUUAUUAUUAUUUUUUGUACUUAGUAACAAUGGGUUCAUUUGACAUUCAUUCAAGAUCCUCCUUGUUUGUUCUCAAAUGAUUCAAAAGAAUGAUAUCAUAUAAGGAAUUUCUUAAAUAGAUGCUUGUAAAAUUAAAAAAACAAAGAAAUAUCAUCUCCUUUUCUUUAAUUUUUAUCCUUCAAUCAUGGGUAAAAAAUGAUAAAAGUGCAAUUAUGCUUUAUUUGGUACUAAUAAGAAUAUCAAAAUUUCUUCACCUCAAGAUAUUGAAGUCUAGCUAAGAAAAUAGAUGGAUAAAAGUAUGACAUAAAACUUUUUUUUUCCCAUUUGGAAGGUGUUUAUAUAUAUCAAGUGGCAUAACAAAAACAUAGGAUUUCCAAAAAGAACUUAAAAUGCAUUCAUCAUGCAUGUAGAUUGUCUACUGUAUUUCUUCAAAUAAUAUUAUUAUGAAUUUGUUUGUACUAUAUUUAUUAACAUAAAAUUUUAAUAAGAGAAAUACCAAAAGAACUGAAAAAGAUGAAAGCAAAUGUAGAAAAAAAAUUAAAUUAAUUCAUAAGAUAAAACAUACUAAGCAAACAAUUUCUAGGGGAGAAAAUUUUGAAAUUUUUAGUAAAAUUAGAAGUAUAUAAUAACAACAUAUUAAAGACUAGUUGCAUAUUUAUUCUAUGAAAUCAUUUCAAUUCAUGACAAAAUGAUAGUCAAAUGAAAAGAAGUUUGAAUGAAAUUUUAAGAUUAUUGAUAUGUUAAUACAUUAAACUAAUCAAUAUUUUUCUAUAUCUUAGCAGCCAUCAAUGACCUGAAGUUAGUAGGACUUCCCUCUCUCUAUAAGACUUUUUUUUUUUUUUCUCUUUUUUGAAAGGAUUUCAUUCCAUUUGUCAAGGUAAGGAAUUGUUUUUCCCUAUCUUUGUUUUUCUCCCUUUGAAUGAUUCACUUAUAUGUUAAGGGUUAGUUUCUUUGAAAAUUUUUUCCUAAAGAAAGAUAUUAUUUUAAUUGGUAAAUAUACCUAUCACUUUGUUGAUGUUAUAGAAACUCUCUCCCUUUUCAAGAUUGUUUUGUUUCUACUACUAUUUGAAAAUAAAAAAUAAAAAAAAUAUUUUAAGUGGUAGAAAACCAACUAAUGGUUAGUUAAAAUAAAUAUUAUAAACCUCAAGAAAUGAGAGACAACAUCCAUAAAUCAACAAAGUUAAAAUCUUUAAUGUCUUUUUUAUGCUUGUGAAGUGUGCAUAGCUGUCCUUCAUUCUCAAUGAUUUUUUAUUUCUAGGAUGACUUUAAGGACUCCUUCCUUUGCAUUUGCUUCUCUCAUUUUAUAAGUCAAGGUCUUUGAUGACUAUUAUUUGCAUUUUGUUUGUUUGUUUGUUCGUUUUUGUUUGCUUUUCUCCUUUCAACGGUCAACAACCAAUCUUCUUACUUUUAGUGCCUUUCUCAUUUUAUAAAUCACGAUCUUUGAUGAUUAUCUUUUGCAUUUUGUCUUUUUGCUUUUCUCCUUUCAACAUUAAACAACCAAUCUUCUUGCUUUUAGUGCUUCUCUCAUUUUAUAAGUGAAGGUCUUCGAUAAUUAUCUUUUGUAUUUUGUUUUUUGCUUUUCUCCUUUCAACAUUCAAUAACCAAUCUUCUUGCUUUUAGUGAUUGUCUUGAACUUUGAUAACAAGUGCCUAAGGCCUUCUAAGAAAUUUGCUUGAAGGCACACUACCAUCCAAAGCUCAAUAAACCAAGGAAAAUUGUAUGAAACUAUUUCAUAUCAUUUCUUGAAAUUCAGAUCUUGGUAAGAAAUUGAUUUGAAGGUAGGCUACUACCAAAGUUUAAUAAACCAAGGAAAAUAGAAUUCUUUUCACACUAUUUCUCAUGUUUGGAUAAUAUGAAAAAAAAAUAAAACAUUAUUAUUUUUUUUAAUUUUGUUUUUCUUUUGUUUUUCUCCUUUUUGACACUAAUUAGUAGUCUCACAUACAUGGAAUGCUCCCUACUAGAUCAUAUAUCCACAUCAAAAGUUAGAUUCAUUAAUCAUAGAAAGAAAAUUAGUAGCCUCACAUAACACUUAAAACAUUGUGAAAAGGUGAAUCUCAAUGAUGGACUACACCUAGAGGGGGGAGGAGGGGGGUGAAUAGGUGUUGUAGAACAAUUUAAAAAUUCUCCCAACAAAGAUUACCUAACCUUAGACUAUCUCAAUGUUAAGAAACUUCUCUUCCAACAACUUUUCAACAAAGCAUAACAUCCACAAGCAAGAGUGAAUGCAUCAACACUCUCCCAAUAAUUUAUAAAUGCAAAACACAUGCAAAUGCUUCAACACUCAAAAAUAAAUCAAAAGAACAAUCAUCUCCUCAACUCAUAUCAAUUGACUCCAUGAUAUCAUUAAACAAAAUGAACAUACAAAAUAUUAAAGAUAUUCCAUGGAUCAUCACACUUAUAUCACCUCAUAUUUCUUCCAUUCAACAUGUAUGCCCAAGUAAUCAAUGAUAUCAAAAACAGAAAAUAAAUCAAAGUGUAGAGUGAGAGAAAUAGACAAUGAACACCGGAUUUUUAAUGUGAAAAACCUCUAAAGAGAUAAAAAAAAAACUACAGACCUAUCACCAAUUGAAAAACUCCAUUAUGAAGAAUAAAAACUGAGUGCAAGGUUUUACCUAGCUCAAGCCAACCAAUCCUUCCCAGACUACUUGACUAGUACCUUCACUUUCAGCUUCUCACCUUCUUCUUUCGGAGCACACUUGGAGUCCGCACCAAGCUCAAUCACGACCUCUUCUUGAAUCCACACAAGAAGAAAAUGGGUUUUUGCACAAACCCAAAUAGAAUAAGAGAUUGAGAUAUGAAUGAAGGAAUGAAUCAACCCAUUUAUUGCUCAAGAAAAUCCAUUAAAAACUAGUUUGGAAAACAUUAAGAGAAGUGGAUUUUCUUUGCAAUCAAAAACCCCAAAUUAGGAAAACAAGAUGAGAAAAUGAAGAACACAUGGAGUGGAUGCUCUCUUCACGUUUUCUGCAGUCCCUGCCUAAAAAAAUGAGAGAAGAUUGUUUUUUUAAAAUAUAAAAAGAAGCCCUUAAUCUAAUGGCUAAUAUUUGAUCUAAAAAAAAUUAGUUGGAUCGAUCCACCCUUGCACCUAGAUAGAUCCAGAAACAGGGGAAUAAAAGUCUUGCACCAAAAACCAUUUCUCCCAACUUUCUAACAUAUUUAAAUAUUAAAAACCGAGUUGACUCACAUUCAAUCACCACACACUCAGCUACAUACCUCGGCCUCUUAGCAAAGUCUUAGUCUUCAAAGUCAAGUAGUCCGAAAAGGAAUUGGAAAGCCGAGUUAGGGGACACUUAGGAAUUUUGUCCGGAAUUGCCAACCCUAAACACUCACACAUUCACAAGUCACUAUCUCUAUAAUAAAACAAAUAGAGUAAUUAGAGUAUUAUUUUUUAAAGCUUUAUCACACAGCUUUCUAUGUAACAAGAAAGGAAGUAUUUUGAAAACUUGGUACAAAGUCUCCAUCCUCAUAAUUCGAUUUGGAAGGGUUUAUUGAAUUAAACCCUCCCUAAAGCGUUUCACGUGUGCCCACAAUUUGUGACGAUCAGGAAGAUUUUCAUUGAUCACUGGAACCUACUUAAAAUUCUGAAUCCAUGCAUGCAAUCGAGGGAAUGUGGUGGAAACCAGCAGUUUUGUGCCAACCAAAUGCUAUGUCCACCAGUCCUAUAGCUUCCCCUCCAAAAAACUUCUUAUCCCCAAGGCCUUUCUCUUCUAUGAUUUUCAGUAUUUCCACUGUUUCUUUUAUGGCCUUCUCUUGCUCUUCCCCAGCAGCAGAUUUAAAGAGUUGAAAAAAAGUGGCACUCUAGAAGAAAUUAGCAACAUGUAUAUUUAGAAUUGAAUGCAUGGUUGAAAACAAGAGUACGGUGAUCUCAAAUAUGAAUAAAAAUUAUAGUUAUUAAAUUAAUUAAAAAUAGGGGGAAAAAAAAAAGAUUUAGAAAGUCUACAAGUUCUUUUCAUUUUAAUCAUAGGUAUUAAUGGGAGAUUUCAAUUUGAUUCCUCUUUCCUCUCCAAAUUCCUUAAUUCCAAACCUAGCUAGGGUGUGAUAGCCAAACAGAAUACAGCCAAGCUCCAGCUCUCCCAAACCAAACCAAACUGAUCAAGAACUCAGCUCCCAGUUAGUUACAACAACCCAAGGAAGUUAGAACAACUGUAUAGUAGAGUAGAUUCAACUGGUAUAAAAACCAUGAUGUUGCUAUUAUAUUCAAGAGAUGAAAUGAAAAACACGGUUUUCAGUUCAGUUUCUAUCAUGGUAUCAGAGCAGAACGAGCUCUUGAAAGAAGUCUUCUUGAAAAGAUAAGCUUCAGGCUGCACAAUACGCUCAUCUCUCAAAAAACAAAAAAAAGAUUUAAAAAGUCUACAAAUUCUUUUCAUUUUAAUCAUAUGUAUUAAUGGGAGAUUUCAAUUUUAAAAAGUAUCAUGGCUAAUUUUUGGAUCACUUCAAUAAAUUUUUACAGAUAGCUAAUUAGAAAUUCACUAAUGAAUACUUUCACAAAUGACUGAAACCAAGAAAUGGGCUAUGAAAGCUAGAUGGAGAGCUUUCAUAUAUUUCAGUCUUGCAAAAGAUUCGGAAAUUAAAUCAUAAGAAUUGAUAAUAAAAACAAGAUUAGUGAGUUAAACCUACAUUUGAUUCUCCAAAAUUGAUCCAAAACCGAGCCAUGGCUCUCUCAUAAGCAUCUGUCGGCAGCAGUACAUUCUCUGGCCAUGUUUCUUCGAAUUAUUCGAGGAUUACAAGGGACUCGGCUACUGCUUUGUCACCAUGAAGAAGCACCGGAAUCUUCUUGUGAACUGGAUUGUGGUAUAACUGCAACUGGCUCUUGUUACCAAGGUCUUCCUCUAUAUACUCAUAGUUUAUGCCCUUGAGUUUUAGAGUCCAAAUCACUCAGUAACCAAAAGGGCUUGCCCAAAACUCUAAUAGCUUCCCUCAUGCCAUUGUUUUAUAGUAUGCCAGCUCAAUUUGCAGGGCUAUUAGUUUCAAAUCUUUGAACUUGGAGGAAGAUAGGACCCUUCUCUUCAACUAAGGAUUUUCAGCCUGUGUAAGGAGGAUUAUUUUUCAUGGCAUGCCUAGUUUUAUGGACUUCUUUUUGAAAGGGAGAUAUGAGAAUUUUUUUGAAGAUGACAUCAAUUUUUUUAAAAGGAGAAAGGAAAACAUUUAAAAGGAAUAAAGAUAUGAAAUUUUUUGAAGAUGACACCAAUUCUUUUUUUAAGGAGAGGAGAUUUUUUUUUUUUUUUUUUUUUAAAGGAAUAGGAGAUAUGAAUUUUUAUUUUGGAAGAUGGCGUCAUUUUUUUUUAAGGAGAAUGAGAAUUUUUUGAAAUAGAAUAUGAGUUUUUUGGAAGAGGAUAUCAUAAUUCUUUUUUAGAGGAUAUUUAUUGUAUAUUGUUUCACGUUAAUAAAGUUUUGAUUUUUAUUGAGUGCUUACAAAAUUGUUAGGACUUAUUUUUCUGGUUAUUAUGUAGUAUCUCUGAUUUUGUAUAUUGUUUCAUGUUAUUUAAGCUUUGAGUUCUAUUGAAUGCUUGUACUAUUUAUCUAAUUUUAUUAAAAAUAAAAUUUUGAAAAAUUUUGGUUUAAGUUUUAAAUUUUUGGAUAUUAUUCAUGAAAUUAGAAUUUUAUUAAAAAUCAAAAUUUGAAAAGUUUUGUUUGAGUUUUAAUUUUCUGGAUAUUAUUAUUCAUUUCAUUAGAGUUUUAUUAAAAAUCAAAGUUUGAAAAGUUUUGGUUUAAUUUAAUUUUCUUGAUAUUAUUCAUGUAAUUAAAAUCUUAUUAAAAAUCAAAAUUUGAAAAGUUUAGCUUGAGUUUUAAUUUUUUGGUACUAUUUAUUUCAUUAAAAUUUUAUUAAAAGUCAAAUUUUGAAAAGUUUAGUUUGAAUUUGAAUUUUUUAGAUACUAUUCAUGUAAUAAAAUUUUUAUUAAAAAUCAAAAUUUGAAAAGUUUAGUUUGAGUUUUAAUUGUCUGGUAUUAUUCACUGCAUGGGGAGUCUUCAUGUAGUGGAUAGUAGGUCAAAGACCCAAGCUUUGUCUUGUUGUUAUUUAUAUAAGAUACUGGAGUGUUCUCUCUAAUAGAAUGUUAAAUCAAUUUCAAAAUUGGAUUAUAAGGGAGCCAAUACUCCUAUGAGCCUUAGUGUUCCUACUCUGAGCUCAUAUACCAUGAUGAUACGGUUUGAAGGGAGGGUUGGUUUGACUCUAGGUUUAUUCUUGUGCAUAAGAGUGUUUUGGUAAUUAUACUAGGUUGCAUAGGGGAUAGUGAACAAGGUCUUUGGUUUGAGCUAAUUGAUUAAUUAGAUGACCCUAAGUGAUUAAUUAAUCAAUUAGAACUCGUUUUGGGCUAGAUUAAGUGACCUAGGCCUUGAUGGGCUUAAGUCACUUAAGCCUAAUGGACAAUCCUAUAAAUACCCCUUUAUGGGUUAGGGUUUCAUAAUGACUUGUGGUGAGAGUUGUCUUCCAACCCUAGAGAGAAAGUUAUAGCCUCCUCUUUUUCAAAACCCACACUUUUGAGUAUUAAGAUUGUGGUUUAAGUCAUCGAGUAGAAGAUCUUGGGUGUACAAGACCUCCUUGGAUGAAGGCUUACAACACUUGGACGUGCAUAGGUCGCGUGCAUGGGAUGCACAUAGGCGUGUGCAUGAGAAGUGCAUGAGAAGUGCAUGAGACAUGCACAGGCCUUGUGCAUAGGAAUCGCAUGGGAUGCGCACGUGGGCAACAACAUGAGGAACAUCCAUACAUGUUCUUCACAGUAAGGAAUUUAUUUGGGAACAUCCAGAUCCGAGGAUGAACACUUUUUAUCUAUAUCUUUAUUCUAAUAUGGUUUUUAUAGCCAUAUGUUUUCACUAUAAUAGAUUUAGAGAAGCUUAGAAUAGUUUACAUUCACCCUAUGAUAUCUAGGGCAUGAGAACAGAGUAAUCUAGGGUUCCCAACACUAGUAACUCUAUUUUAAGAGUGUUGAUUUAUCACAUGGCCCAUAAAAGUGAAUACAUGGACAUUUAUUUUUAAUAUGAAUGAAUGGAUGCAUGUUGAUUUUUUUAUUCUUUUUUCUCUUUCGAUUAGGUUGUAAACUUCAUAAGGAGUAUAGAAUUUUAAAUUUCUCCGUAAAAUAUUUUUCUUUUAAUGGAUGAGUUGUAAGCUCCAUUUUGAGAGCAUAAGGGUUUGUAUUCUUUGUAAAAGAAUUUAACUUUGGUCUAUCUAUGGUGACCUAAAAAAGGGAAUUAGAGCCCCUGAUUCAUUCAGGGGCAUUCAGAUAGAAAAAGUGAGUUUUUUUGAGAAAAAAAAUUGAAAAAAAAAAUGGAGAAUCAAGCUCUCAACAUAGUAGUCCAAGUGGUAACGCUCAAAUGUUACAAAUCACAACUUAAGCGUUUGAGUGCUCCUUUAGGUGUUUUGAGUACUCUUAUUAUGAUAGCUAUAAUUUCUCCAACAUGAGUUUUUUUUUCUUUUUUUUUUAAGGUUUUUCUAUAAUUUUAGAUUUUUUUUUUCCCAAUGUUUUUAGAAUUGGACUGGUCAUUGAAUAAAAAAGAUGACCAGUGGUCGAAGAACUAUCGAACCGAUGACGUCAUAAAUAUAUAAUUUAUAUAUUAAUAAAUAAUAAAUAAAAAAAUAAUAUAUAUAUAUAUAUAUAUAUAUAUAUAUAUAUAUAUAUAUAUAUAUAUAUAUAUAUAAAUUAAUAAUCAAUAAUAUUAAUUAUAUCUUUGAUAAAAGAUAAAAACAAUUAAUAUUUUGAAUUUUAUUAAAUGAAAUAUGUAUAACAUUUAAAUGUGAAAAUAUUCAAAAUGAAAGGAAAUCUGAUUAUCGGAUUUUAACUAAUUUUAUAAUUUUAGAAAAUAUUAUAUUAUUUUUAUUUAAUAUUAUAAAUCAUUUUAGAAACAAAUAUAUUUUUUCAUUCGCCAUUUUAAUCAACAAGAUGCAUGCAGCCAAGUGGUGGUGUACAUCUUUUGUUCAGCAUACAUCGAAUGUGGAUAAGUAAAAAAAGGCCCUUAUAUACCCAAAACUUACCCAAGUCACAUAUGCAGCACAGGAAACCAAGGUGUAGCCUAUCCAACAGUGUUUGAAUUGGGCUUUUAUUUGGGCCUCAUGGAAUUAAAAAAGAGGGGAAGUUUGGGUUUUAGAUUGGGUCCAUUUUAAUGAAAGAACAGUUGGGAUUGAACCGUUCGGUUCAUGUGAAACCGCCCAGUCCAGGUGGUUCAUCGGUUCAACCACCGAUUCGGACAGCUUGUUACCGAUUCAAUUAAAGGGAAGCAUUUGUACCACACCAGUUCGGGAAAUAACUAUAUGUUAAAUCCCCAAUGCAAGGAAAAGAUCCAAGUGACCAGAAUCUCCCUUUUUGUAUAAGGAACUUGAGCCUAGUUGUCUCAGCUGAUUCAUGUCCUCUCAAUUGUCCCUAACAGUGGUGCCAUUUGAUACGUGUCCAGCUGGUGUCCCUUGAUUGUGGUCCUCAUGGAGUAAUCAACAAAAUUUAUAACCUAUUACACCAUGUACUAGGAUAGCCUUAGCUAGCAUAGCAUAGUGGCUCUAGGGUCAUUCACUGGGAUGGGUUUUCACUUCACAAUUGAUAUUAAUUCCAAGUUGAAUUGGUGCGUUUUCAUUUCAAGGUUAGCUUUAAAAGAAAACAUAAUCUUUGGUGGAAAAAGGCCUAACAGUUUAACAAGGUGGACUGGACUAGAAAGUCCACCGGUCCAACCGAUUGGAGUGCCAAAUCGGUUCAGUUUUUAAAACAAGGUUUUUUUAUUUCUCUAACUUAAUUUUGGUUGCAUGGGUAUUUUGGUAAAUUUUUGAAUAAAUUGGAUUCUAAAUAUUUUUGCUACCAAAAUUUGUGACAAGAUGCCUAAGGGGGGAGGAAUUAUUUUAAUUUUCCUUUUUUUAUUCUUAAGCUUACAUAUAUAUAUGGCAUGUUGUGCAUGAAAAUUUGAUUUUUAGUAAUUUUGAUAGAAAUAAAUUUCUUUGAAAAUUAGAUUUCAAAAGGAUAUUUUUAUUAAAUUGGAAAAGUAGUGACUAAAGAAAGAACUUUUUAUCAAAAUAAAAUUUAAAUAAAGAGAGAAAAUUUUCAUUUUAUAAAAUUAUUUUGAAGGAUUUUAAAAUCCUUUUAUUUAAAAUUAUUUUAUAAGAUUCCUGAAAAAUAAAAGCUUUCUUUCUGGAUAAGAUACUCGCUAUAUUUUAAUUUUCCAUUUUUAGAAAUUUUCUUAUUUUGAGAAUUUUCAAUUAGAACAAUAAAUAAUUUUGGAAAAUUUCAAGAUAGGCAAUAAUAAGAUAUUACUAAAAAGUUUUGGAAACUUAGUAAUUUAAUGAGCAAUAAAUUUCUAGAAAAAUAUUAAUUUCAAGAUAAGAUAUUUAUUAAAUUGGAGUGGUGUAUGAGAAAGGAUAAUUUUAUAUAAAUUGAUUUUAAAAAUUGAGAGCAAUUUUUUUAUCAAAAUAAUUUAGGAUAAAAUGCUGUUACAAAAACUUUAUAAUUUUCAAAGUUACAUUCUCUUAUCUCCCUUGUGUUUCUAAUUACGAAAUUAAUAAUUUUAAAAUAUUUUAUAGAAGAUAAUUAUUUAUGAAGGGAAUUACCAAGAAAUUAAAAAGCUCUAAUUAACUCAAAAGAUAAAGUAGGCAAGGCCUUAGCAAAGCCCACAACCUUCAUUAUCAAGUCCACCUUGAUUUUGUGUCAUUGUCAUCCCAACAGUGAGUUGGCUAAGCAAUCAAAGGAUAUGAACUUUCCAAUUGGCGAGACUAGAUAUGUUAGUAGAACAACCGCCUCAACAAUGAAUUUUUUUUUUUACCAAUAUUAAUAUGAAAGAUAAUAAUCACACACUUAACUUAGAAGUAAAAUGGUUGAAUCAACCAAUGUGGUCCCACUUACAUAAUUAAAGGUUAAAUAAAAGGAUAUGUUGACCUUGCCUUAGAAUUUUAAGAUAGGAAGAUCAAUAUGAAAGGGUCUCUACCUAGUAAUAAGAUCAUGUCCAACCUAAGGUGGCAUUGAUACUUAUGAUUCUAUGAUAUCUAGAAAAAGCUAUGUAAUCAUAAGAGCUCUAUAUUUUGCUAAAUUUAUUAUCUUGCUUUAGGGUUAAUGCUUAGUAUUUAAUGCAUGUUGUUUAUUUUUGUUACAUUAAUCAUGUCCUUUAAUCCAAUUACUCCCAUUCUCACAACAAACAAAUUACUUAAACAUAAUUAUGUGAAUUAAAAGAGAUACUUUGAUAUAGUGCUUACAUCAAAGGAGCUUAAAUGGGUGUUUUAGGAAUUUACUUUUAUUGGAGUUGGGUUUAGGUGCCCAGAUGGGCUGACCCAACCCUGUCUAAUAAAUGAGAAAAUAUGGGAGGAGUUUCUAGGAGUUUUAAAACUACCCAAAAAAUGCCAUUAUUAAAAGAUUUAAAAAAAUGUUUUUUUCUCUUUUCUCUCUUUGUGAAAACUCUCUCGCUGAGAAUUCUCUCUCUCCAUGGAAAACCAAAGAGAGAAAGAGUAUGUUUUCUUUCUUCCUGAAAAUAAAGGCGAAGAAAUACGUUUUCUUUUUUCCCUAGAAAACAUAAGAAAGAAUAAUUUUUCUUCUAAAGAAACAAAAAGUUCUUUCUCUUAAAGUUAUUCUUGUUUUCUCCGUGAAAACGAAGGUUAAGGCUCUCGUGUUGUGAUAAAAGAAUGGUUAUCAUAUUUGUAGUUCCAUUCACGACUUGAGGCGAGAAAAUUAGUUAGUGAAACAACCAAUCUGGGUCUUGGGUAUUUCAGAAGGUAACUCAGAAUUUUCUACCUUUUAUUUAUUUUAUUUAUUUUUUUGUUUUGUUUUAGAGAAAGAAGAAUAUUUUUUUUUAAACAAAUGAACAAGGAAUAAACUUUUUUUUCUAGUUGUGGUUUUAGAAAAACUAAAAAAAUAAAUAAACAACAAAAUGGAUAAAUAUGAUUUUGGAUAUUGUUCCAAAUUAAUAAUAAUAAUAAUAAAAGCAAUGUUCCGGAAACAAAAAAUAAAUAAAUAAGGAAAAAAUAAGAACCACUUGGAGAAAAAAUAGGUGCAAAGUGCAUCCACUACAGCAACCUUGGACAAAUUGAAAUGGACAAUUAAAAGCCAAAAAAAAAAAAGACGAGCCACAAUUUUUUGGUUAUGGUUCCAGAAAAGCCUUUCUCCAAGACAAACAAAGGGGAACAUUUUUCUGGAAUUUUUUUUUUUUGAAAAAGUAAUAAUAAUGCUAAACAAGUUAAAUAUGUUUUAGUUUACUAAUUAACAUCAAAGUUGAAUUACUCUUGUUGGUUAGAACUCCUCUCAUGCUCACUUCAUACCCAACUUCGAGCUUUGAAGUCCUCAUCAUUCCUAUUUCAAGUUUUUUGAGUUGAAGUCAAAUUAUGUUGAUUUUUAGACUAUAAAAAAAUAAAAUAAAAAAUGAGGGUCUUAAAUAUGUUACCCAUUAGAAUAAAUAAAUAAAAAUGGAUGAGGGAUUGCGUAUGAAAAGGCUUGAUCCCUGACCAUAAGAGUAAGAGUCUUGCACUCUACCAACUAGGCUAGAUGUUUUUUGUUUUCAUAGAAAGACUAUGAUUAUAGAAAAUAACAUCUAGAGUUAUAAAAGACAUUGUGAAUAAUCCUAAUAUUGUUGUUCCUUUUAGCUUCAAGAGAAAAUAUUAGUUCUUUUUCUACAUGUUACUUUUUUAUGCUUUAUACAUGAAAUGUAUAUAUCUUAUAUGCAAGAUAUGAUAUGAAUAUUUAUUGUUUGAUAAAUGAGUAUGUCUUUUAUGUACAUGCAUGUCUUCAAUUAUUUUGUAUAUAUUAUUGAUACAUGCUAGUUGUAUAAUAUUUUUUAUGGAGUGAGAGGUUUUAGGCUAAAAAGAAAUUUAAGUAAUUUCUUGCCUAAAAUUAGAAAUACUUGAAUAGAUUAUUUCUAAUUUGUAUAUAGGAUUUUAUUGGGAACAUAGUGAACUUUCGUUUCUAUUGCAAUUUAAGGUUAUUACACAUUAAAAGAUGAUUAGAGCAGGUAAAAACAUCAAUAUCCAUAAAACUACCACUUAAUAAGAUUGUGCAAUAUCUCUAAGUAGUUCAAUAUGUCAACUACAACUAGGAACAUCAUAGUAGAAUUGAACAAGGAUGAGAAACUAAAUUACAAUAACUACAAGGUUUGGUAUUGCAAAGUUCAAUAUAUCCUUGUUAAGCAAGAGACUCUUGAUACACUAAAUCAUAUCAUGUAAGAACCUAAAUAAGGAAACUUUGCUCAACAUAGAAGAGAUCAAGAGGCUUAAAUGGCCUAGAAGAAAAAGAAUUUUUUAGCUCGCAUCACAUUAUUACACUAUAUGCAAGAUGAUCUCUUGAUUAAGUAUAAGGUUUACUAAACUGCUCAUGAAAUGUGGCAAGCUCUAAAGGAAAAGCAUGGUGGACUUUCAAUUAUUAAGCUGUGAGAACUUGUAAUGAAAUUUGAAAAUUACAAGAUGCGAUUGAACCAUACAAUGAAACAACAUCUCAGGGCGAUGAAGAGAAUGAUAAGAGAGCUUAAGGCAUCUGGGCAUGUCUUCACUGAUAAGCAACAAGUUGAGGUGGUCAUCAAAUCUCCACCAAAGAGUUGGGAACAUAUGGUGGUGAAUAUGACACAUAAUGAGAGUGUCAAGACUUUUGAUGAUAUAGUUCGUCAUUUCGAAUUGGAAACCAAGCAACUUAUGGUUGCUAGGCCUAAUAAACAAGCUCAUGUAACUGAAUCCAAUUCUCACAAACUUCCGGCUCUAAGUGUAAUAGAAAAUUCUUUAAGAAGAAUAAGAUAUCUAAUGAGGCUUCAAAGAAAGGAAAGAUUGAGACACACAAGAAGUUUAAGCGUACCAAGAAGGAUAAAAGCAAGUUGAAAUGUUAUAACUAUGGUAACAAAGGUCACUUUACUCGUGAAUGUACUAAGUCAAAGUAGACUCAGUCCCUAUUAAUCGAACAACUAGAGGCCAAAGAGCAUAUGUAGAGUUUAGGCCAAUUAGUUCUGAUACUAGAUGAAUUUAUGUAGGGAACAACUCCAAAGUUGAGGUCAAGAGUAUUGGAACUUGAAAAUUGGAGUUGCGUAAAGAAUGUGUCCUAUUCCUACAUGAUGUUAUUUAUAUUCUGGAUAUUCGAUGAAAUUUGGUCUCUGUGUUAGUCCUUUUUGGUUUAGGUUUCAAUUUGAGUUUUCAUAAUUCAAUAAUGGAGUUGUAUUUGGGAACAACAUAAUAUGGUUUUGGAUUUAUUUUGAAUGGUUUUAUAGUUCUUGACAUUGAUAAAUGUGUGUUGUCUAAUACUAAUGAUAGUUAUUAUUCAUUGAUGACUACUUCUAAAAAUGCAUGUGAUAAUGUGAUCAUACGGCAUGCUAGACUUAGGCAUAUUGGACAAGAAAAAAAUAAAUAGACUAGCUAGAGAAAAUCAUUUUGGUCAAUUCACUAAAGAUUGAUACACCAACUUGUGAAUAUUGUCUAACUGAUAAAACUACAAGAAAACCAUUUGGAAAAGGAACUAAAACUAAAACACCAUUGCAAUUAAUCCAUUUUUUACAUUGGUGAUCCUAUGAGUGUUAGAGCAAGGCAUGGAGCCUUGUACUUCAUCACAUUUAUAGAUGACUUUACUCAUUAUGGUCAUGUUUAUUUGAUUUCUCAUAAGUUAGAAACAUUAGAUUGUUUCAGCUGCUACAUUAAUUUAGUUGAGAAUCAGUUGGACAAAAGGAAUAAAACAUAAAGAACAAAUAUGGGAAAAGAAUAUCUAUUAGAACAAUUUAAAGAUUUAGACUCCACAACAAAAUGUUGUUGCUAAGAGGAAGAAAUAGAAUGUUGUUACACAUGGUUAUGUCAAUGGUGGCUCAAGCAAAUCUUCUUAUUUCAUAUUGAGGAGACACAUUGUUGACUACUUCUCAUGUACUUAACCAAGUACCCUCAAAGUUUGUUUCACCUACUCUAUAUGAGUUUUCGAAUAACCGAAAGCCUGAUCCUAGCAAUUUGCGACCUUGGGGGUCGAUGGCUUAUGUUCACAAUCCUUCUCAUAAAUAUGGAAAAUUAGGUCAUAGAGGGACGAAAUGUGUAUUUAUAAGAUACAGUGAACACUCCAAAGGGUAUGUGUUCAUAGGUGAGUAUGAAGAUGGAAAUUAGAAUCACGAGAUGUCAAGUUCUUAAAGGAUGAUUUCCCACGUACGGGUGAGAUUGAUAGGGAUUUACAUCUUUAUGAAAUGAUGGAUCUCGAUAUAAGAUCCGUACCCAAACAAAUUGAUGGUUGAAUCAAGUGGGAGUGAACUAGUACUCGUAGCAAGUAUAGUAAAAGAGUCGAUGUUGAGAAAAAGUUCUCAAUAAAUUAUUCCUCCACAACGAUUUGAGAUUGAAGGGGAAAUUCAUAUUGUCACUCAAUAUGAUGAUGUUGAGCCUAAUUUGGUUCAAGAGACUCUUACUUGUCCAAGUAAGGAUGAAUGGAGAAAAACAAUGGAAGAGGAAUUGGAGUUGAUGCAAAAGAAUCAAGUCUAGGGCUUGGUUGAUUUGCCUUUAGAUUGAAAAGCUAUUGGGAACAAAUGAGUUCUUAAAAUAAAACAAAAGACAGAUGGAUCCAUUGAAAAUUAUAAAGCUCAAUUAAUGACUAAAGGGCAUACCCAACAAGAGGGUAUAUAGACUACGAGGAAACCAUCUCUUUAGUAGUUAGGUUUGCCUCAAUUCACCUCAUUCUAGCUAUAAUAGCUCAUAUGGAUUUAAAGCUACACCAAAUAGAUGCUAAGACAACUUUCCUUAAUGGAGAGUUGAAUGAAGAAAUCUAUAUGGAACAACUAGUGGAUUUCAUUAUCCAAGGCUAAGAGCACAAAGUGUGCAAGUUAAAUUGAUUGAUUUAUGGCCUUAAACAAUCAUCUAGGUAGUGGUACUUAAGAUUUCAUUGUGCAAUAACUUCAUAUGUUUUCACAAUGAUUUAUGAAGACCACUGUGUUUAUAUUAAGCAAAAUAAAGAAAUUUUUUUUAUUAUCUUUAUACAUGAAUGAUAUACUUAUAGCUAGAAAUGAUUUGGAGUUUGUUUAAACCAUUUAAUGAUUUUUGUCAUCUACUUCUGAGAUGAAAGAUAUGGGAGAAGCAUCUUAUAUUCUUAGAGUAAAGAUCCAUAGAGAUCGUUCUCAUAAACUAGUCGUUCUUUCACAAGAAUACUAUAUUAAGAAUAUCCUUGAAUGAUUUAAUGUGCAAGAUUGCAAUUCCAUUGACACUCCUUUUGCAAGAGGUGAAAACCUAAGUAAAUAAAUGGGUCCAAAGACUCCAAAAGAAAAGAAAAAAAAUAACUAAUGUUCCCUACUCUAGUGUUAUUGGGAGUCUAAUGUAUGCUACGAUGUGUACAAGACUACAUAUAUCUAUUAUGUUGUUAGGAUGGUGAGUCGUUACCAAGAAAAUCCUAGAAUGAUGCUUUGGAAAAUAGUAUAGAGAAUUCUUCGGUAUCUAAUAGGCAUGUGAACUAUUCUUUUUGUUAUCUAGGCAAAGAAAUGCGCUUGUGGGUUAUUCACAUAUUGUUUGGGCAGAUGAUCUAGAUGAGCACAAAUCAACAUCUAGAUACACAUUCUUGCUUAAUAAUGGUGUCAAAUUAUGGAAAAGCAAGAAACAAACUUGUAUAGCUUUAUCAACCAUGGAAGCUGAAUUUAUUGUUUGUUCAACUGUAAUAUAAGAAGUCGUAUGAUUGAAAAGUUUUUUUGCAAAGCUUGGGAAUAGUCAAUGAUGUUCUUAAGCCAAUGACAGUCUAAAGUGACGGUCAAUUUGUGACUAUUUAUGUAAAUGAUCUGAAAUAUCAUAGAAAAACUAAACAUCUAGAUACCAAGAAUAAUUUUAAAAGAGAUGUUAUUGCAUGAGGAGGAAAUGAUCCUGAAUAUUUACCUACAUGUAAAAUGGUUGUUGAUCUAUUCAUGAAAUCCAUUCUAAGGAACAUAUUUUCUAUACAUGUAAAGUCAUUAGGACUAUGUAGGUUAUGAUCUAUGUGGAUCAUAUGUCAUGGAUUAUUAUUGAUUGGAUAUAUGAUGCUUUAUAUAUGUUAAAAUGAUAUGAGUAUUUGUUAUUCAUAUAAUUGAAUGUGUAAUUGGUACUUACAUAUAUAUAUGUAUGUCAACAAGUUGAGGUUAACUCUCUCACAUGAGCAAUUGCCCCAAUCAAUAUGUUUAUGAGUUGGGAUGAGACAAUAUAUUAAUGAUGACGAAUGAGUGAAUAGUAUACAAAAGAUUAUGAGUGUUGUCUUGAUUAAUUAUUAAGAUGAGGUCUAUAAUAAAUGAAAUCUUGACUGAAUGUAAUCGCCCACAAUUAUAUUUACCUGUUUGAACCGGACUUGAGUUUUAUCAUAAAAGGUUUAAAGAGAACAAUAGACGCAAAACGCAAACAAUCUACUGGUGUGAAGCUCUUAAUUAAGGUCCAUAUGGUGGUAGUUUGACAUACACUCUCUAAGUGGAGAGAAACCACCAUAACAUGUAUUUCAUACUACAUGUAUUUGAAUGUGACUAAUAAGGGAAGUGAGUGAUUAAUCUUUGCAUCUUCACUGUGUGAGAUCCUUAGGGCUUAUUACAAUUAUAAUAGCCCAUUAUUGUACUCUUUGUACUUUUGACUAUGUUUUGAGGUGACAAAUUAAUGUUGCUACUUUGGUAUGUUUUCGAUGGAAAUGAAAUAAUUUAUCCUUAUGGGACAUAUUGGGCAAACAAUUAAUUUGGAUCUAAAAGACAUGAGCUCAAAAGGAAGCCUUUUUUCUAGUUACAUUGAAAGAUGGUACCCUUCUUUUAAAGAAGAAAUGUCUUUUAUACUCAAAGAUUGUCUUUAUAUUCCUAACUAUAGAAAUAAUUUGAUUUCACUUUCUAGUUUAAAUAAAUGUGACUUUUUGGUUUCUUUUAAUAAAGACAUUAUUAGAAAGAAUGUUGUAUUGUGAAUAAUGGCACUGGCGUGAGAAGAAAUCGUGCAUCAUCAACUUUAGCACCAUAUUACAAUUGAGAUCAUGCACAACAAAAGUUCACUACAACUUAAAAAAAUAUCCUAUAAUUAAAGUUGUUUUUUUUUUUAUUGAUCAUAAGAAUGAACAUGAGUACAUUUUUAAUAUGGCUAGAUUUUAACAUGCAAGAAAAUCUAGAUGUGGAUGUAUCCAUGAUUUUACUUGGUUGGCUAAUAAAACUUCAAGGUCCCUCGCAAAUUAAAAGAAUUUAAUUUUUAUUUAUGCCUUAUUUUUUGCGAAUGCAUUCCUAAUUGAUUAGAUAAGGGUUUAAAUUUCAUUAUCUUUAUUUGAAUAUUAUGAACACACUAGUUAAUUUAUUGGUCAUUUCUAGAAUAGCAUAAUUUACCUAAUGAGCAUAGAAAAGAUGUUAUAAUAUACGCAUUAUGUGAACAUCAAUAGUCAUAUUUUGGUUGUUCACUUAUGAUCCCUGUUUUUCUCUACUUGUAAGUUGAGACUUAUAUAUAAGAAUAGCUCAUCCAAUGUGUUUCUAAAUACUCACACUCAAAUGAGGACUUAUUUUUAUUGUCUUUAGGAAUUUCUACCUAAAAGUGGUCAUAAAAUGCAAGGUUUCAAUUUUAUAGAUAUUUUCAUAAUAAUCAUAUUAUAAACAAUCAAUAAAAGUUAGUUUCAUGUAUGAAAUCAUAUAUUAACAAAAUAUAAAAAAUACUUAAAUCAUCUUUCCAAAAUAUUCAAAUAAUAAGGUGACUAAAGAAUUUAAAUAUACUUAUAAUUCACAUAAACAUGUAUACAUCCAUUACUUGUGAAUUAAAGAAUGAAUUCCAUAAAGGUUUUAAUCAAGCAAAAUCAGUACCAUAAUUUUGUCUUUAACUCGUUGUAAUAGACAGGGACAUAUACCUCUCUCAAAACAUUUGAAAUGAAAAUUUUGAAAUCACGAUGUUCUUCUUCUUUUGAAUUUGAUUGCUUGUUCUUAAUUUGACAUUCUCUUUCCCUUUGAGAUUAAAAACAAACAAACAAACAAACAAACAAACAAACGGAGUAACAAAUUAAAAAGAGUGUCAAUUCAACUCAAUUAGAGUCUAUUCAAAAUUGGAAAUUUCCUUGCAGCAACUAACUAGCUUGAAUGAAUAAGGAUGUAUGGGUUGAUCAAUUGAGCUUUGGGCCUUUGAAUAAUGAUAUCAAAUUUUCACUUUCAAUUGCUUGAGACAUUCCACUUGGAUAUCAAUCAAACCCAAGGUUAAGACAUUAAAUUAUGUAAUUUUCUAUAAUAAGAUAGUUUUAGAAAAUGUUUAAUGCUUCAAAAGUAAUAACUUAUGAAAUAAAGAAUCAAUCACAACAUAAGCUUUAGUUAACAAAUACAAUGCCAUGAUUUUAUAUUUUCGCUCAUUUGAAAUACGUAGGAACCCAGGGUUAUCAAUCAAACCCAGGUUUAAGACAUUAAAUUAUGUAAUUUUCUAUAAUAAGCUAGUUUCACAAAAUGUUUAAUGCUUCAAAAGUAAUAACUUAUGGAAUAAAGAAUCAAUCCCAACAUAAGCUUUAGUUAACAAAUGCAAUGCCAUAAUUUUAUAUUUUUGCUCAUUUGAAAUACAUAGGAACAAAUACCAACAUGCAUCUUAAAGUAAUCCAAAACAAAAUACUUGAAAUUGAAAUAUUCUUUCCCAUUUUAAAGGAGAUUCUAUCUCUUUACACCAAGAAUUAUGAAUAGAGCAAAAGUGUGAGUUUAAAUUGGCAUCACUUUAAUCAAAAUCUCAAAUUGGGUUGAAGUAUUUGACUUGCCUUGAUUAAUAAGGGCAUCCGCAUCCAUGGCUUAACCAAUAGGGGCUGGGCAUUUGACAUUAUGUAUUUAGCAGCUUGGAAUGUCCCAUCAAAGCUUGAUGUGUACUAACUUUUCCAACAAAAUGUUUAAUCUGCAAAAAAAUUAACAAUGCAAUCAAGCUUGUCCUACAAAUGCCUUAAAACAAGUUCCAAUAAAAAUGGGUUUUGAAAAAAAAAAAUUAAAAAUUAAAAUUCAGCCCCUUGGAAUCAGCAAGGCAUAUAUAAUAGAAACUAAGAAAAGGAGGGUGGCUUAAUUACCAAAAAGUUGAGAUAAAUGUUUGGUCAACAUCAACAAUUCUCUUACUUGAAAUUAGUGUCUUGUGCAGCAUAUCCAAUGAACAAAUUUGCAAAGAAGCUCCAGCCAUCUAUGCAUAUGGUCCAUUUCAUGGUCUUGGGCAUCAACACCAUUAUCAUCAAUAUUCAGGGUGGUGCCAUCACAGCUUCUCUCCAUUCAUUUGAGUGAUAUCCCUCGGGAAUAUUUGACUUAGGAUAAUAUAUCAAGCACCCUUGACUUGAUGCAUCUUCAUCAUAGCAGAAUUCACAAAAUUGAUGAGACUGACAGGAAAAAUAGGCACUGUCAUCAUCGAAAUUCAAUUUACAGUUGAAAUCCCUAUGUGGUGUGGUCUCAAUCUCAAGUGGAACAUAAGGAGAGCACAGAACAAAGCCCAAGAAGUCAUCAUUUUCAUACCAACUCCAGGGAAGUUUCAUUGUUGUAGGGACCCCUCCCUCUGGGAAACACGUGGCACGCAUCUCACAAUGACACGUGGCACGUGUCAUCAGCUGGACCAUCAUCAUCCGGAUCCCCCUAAGGAUGCGUAUUAUACAGUUCUCCUAUCCGGACCGCCUCAAGGAAAGGCAAAUGACGUUUCAGCUUCUCCUAUCCAAGGAAGAGCAAACGACGCUGACAGAUCAUAGACAUCCGGACAACCUUCAUAACACAUUCGCUCCACAAUACAUCCGGAUAAUCAGCAUGUGACAUCCGGAUAUAAUCGUCCGGCUCAUCAAUUAAAGUAAAGCGAGUCUUACACGCUAUCACAACAAACAGCCAUGGCCCACAUCCUAUCAUCUGCAAAGUGAGAAGACAAGAUGAGGUGACAGCAAGUCACUUCCCACGAUCAAUUUUACGUGAUCACUUCCCACGAUCUCUGACAGCCGCAUCACCUACCAUGGUUUCUGACAGCCGCUCGUAGGGUGAUGAUGCUCAUACUGACGCCUAUUAUCAUCAUAACAACAUAAAAUAUCUCCUCACCAUUAAUGAGGAGGACAGUACCCCUAAAGCUGUAUAUAUAAGCCUUCACAUGAAGAAGAAGGGAAUCCCCCUGGUAACCUCCUAAUACCUGGUAAAGGGCCAACUGAUUUAUAUCUCUCUCUGACCAUGGCUAACAAAACCAUCGGAGGGUGCGUCCGGACACCCUGUCCGGAUGCCUUCUUGCAGGUAUAACGACUGGAUCAAGAACCUUUAUGAGUUGAAAUCACGUGUCCAUCCAUCUGGCAACUACGUGGAUCAUCAAAGACGCGAGGUAUCAACAUUGGCGCCGUCUGUGGGAACUUUUUACUUUGAUUCAGUCACUAAAAAAGAUGGCCACACCUUCCCAAAGCCGUUCAUCUGGUAGGGGAGAGGAUGAUAAUUUUGAAUGGCGCCUAGCCAUCGAAAGGAGACAGUUGGCAAGCGAAAGACAGCUAAAAGCUCUCCUCCAGGAGACAGAAAGAUUGAGAGAAGAAAACGCGGUGUUACGCAUCCAGGCUUCAACAUCAGGGCCUCCUCGACGUCAGCGUUCGAGGAGCCAAGUAGCAAACUCAAGGCCUCAACAAGAACCAGAGUCAAUAUAUCCUGGGACAACAGGAGCUAUCCCAGGAGCAUGCAACGUAAGACCUCAUGAGCCACGCACGCCUAUGCCUCGAGCUCCCCGUGAGGAAAGCUCAGACUCUACUCAUUUUUCAGCGAAGAGACAACGUGAUAAAAAAUCCCAAUUGUCAAAUUCGAUGCGCGCAAGACUAGGCCCACAAGAGCCUGGAAGAUCAAGGCCACCAAUGGCCACAACUUGGGCACCACGCCCUGACCCCAUGGCCACCCCCAUGGUGCAAAACGUUUACCCGCAUCGUGACCCCGUAGUCACCCCCGUAAUGCGGAACGUUCAUUCGCACCCAACAGAACAGCCAACUGGGAGAAACAUCCCAAACGGGCCACCCAUUGGCUCCAUCAGCAAAAGGCUGGAUGACAUGCUCUCCACGCCUUUCUGCUCUCAUAUCAUUAAUUACGAGCCCCCAAGGGGAUUCCUCGUACCAAAAUUUUCCACAUACGAUGGAACCAAUGAUCCCUUCGAUCACAUCAUGCAUUAUCGACAACUCAUGACGCUCGAUAUUAGCAACGAUGCACUACUAUGCAAAGUAUUUCCCGCCAGCCUACAAGGACAGGCCCUUUCAUGGUUUCAUCGCCUACCGCCCAACUUCGUUGGCAAUUUCAGGGACCUGUCCGAAGCUUUCGUGGGACAAUACCUGUGCUCCGCUCGACACAAGCAAAAUAUCAGCACCUUGCAAAACAUAAAAAUGCAAGAUAAUGAAUCCUUGAGGGAAUUUGUGAAGCGGUUUGGCCAAGCCGUACUUCAAGUGGAAGCUUGCAGUAUGGAUGCUGUCCUAUAGAUCUUCAAACGAAGCAUCUGUCCAGGCACUCCAUUUUUCGAAUCACUGGCUAAAAAGCCUCCUACUACGAUGGAUGACUUAUUCAGACGAGCCAACAAAUAUUCAAUGCUCGAAGAUGACGUACGUGCAGCCACCCAACAAGUUUUGGUUGCCGGAAGGCCGUCUAGAAGUAAUUCGGAGAGAAAUACUAAACCUCCGGAUCGGCCAAAAUCGUUUGACCGAAGGCAGGAAGGGCCAAGUCGCCCGAAAAUGCCUCCUCUCACACCUCUUUCUAUAUCAUAUGAGAAGUUUCUCCCGAUGAUCCAGGACUUGUCCAACUUCAAGUGGCCUAGACCCAUUGGAACGGACCCAUCCACAAGGGAUCGUAGUAGGAGAUGUGCCUUCCACAAAGAUCAUGGCCAUACAACAGAGACAUGCCGAUCUUUCCAGUAUCUGGUCGAAAGGCUCAUAAAAGCAGGGCAUUUGAAGCAAUACCUCCGAUUAGAUAAUGGACGAAGGGACACACCCCAACAUCACAACCCCGAGAACCUUAGGGCCCCAGCUACCCCCAAGGCCGUUAUAAACUAUAUUACCGAGGGUCCAUCUGACGAGGAGUACGACUCUAGGCGAAAGAGGCAAAAAUUGUUGCGAGCCGCAUCAAUACGCGAACGCAUCAACUCCAUCCGGCCUGGGCUAACUGGAGGGGGCCCUUGCCCCAUAGAUGGAACAAUCAUUUUUCCACCGGUGGAUCCCACCCGAACACUGCAGCCGCAUCGCGACGCCCUCAUCUUGUCCCUGGAAAUUGGGGACUUCGAUGUGCGGCGUAUCUUGAUUGACCCAAGCAGUUCGGCCGAUCUUGUGCAAGCAUCGGUCGUGGGCCACAUGGGACACACUCUCACAGGCCUCGAAAACCCUGGACGAAUCCUAUCCGGAUUCAACGGGUCUUCAACUACAUCCUUGGGAGACAUUGUACUGCCGGUCCAAGCAGGCCCAGUCACUCUCAAUGUACAGUUUUCAGUAGUACAGCAGCUAUCACCCUUCAAUGUCAUUUUGGGGCGCACAUGGCUCCACUACAUGAAAGCUAUCCCCUCUACAUACCAUCAAAUGGUGAGUUUUCUCACCAACGAUGGCCAAGUCGACCUAUAUGGCAGCCAAUUAGCCGCUCGCCAGUGCUAUCAGAUAGCACGUGAAGCAGGGGCCAACCAGGAGGAUGCAUCUCCCCCUGAACCCAGCAUUGCACAUGACCAAUAGCAAUUAUUGGGUCCGACGGACAAAGAUCCCCCGGCAGCAGAUCCCUUACAAACAAUCCAAAUUUCAGAGGAAAACACUCACCUCACGAACAUCAGUUCCCUCAUGACACGAGAAGAAACGCAGAGCAUGCAAAAUAUUCUCAAACAGAACCAUGACAUCUUCGCAUGGGCACAUUCUGACAUGAAGGGAAUUCAUCCCUCCAUUGCAUCUCACAGGCUUAACGUCUUUUUAACUGCCAGACCCGUCCGGCAGAGGAUUAGGCGAUUUCACCCGGAUAGACAAAGAGUCAUCCGGAAUGAGAAUGACAAAUUACUCGAAGCCGGAUUCAUCAGAGAAGUUUCUUAUCCGGAUUGGUUGGCAAACGUAGUAGUGGUACCCAAAAAAGAAGGAAAAUGGCGAGUUUGUGUAGACUAUACCAAUCUCAACAAUGCGUGUCCAAAAGACAGUUUUCCCUUGCCUUGAAUAGAUCAGAUUGUGGAUUCCACCUCCGGGCAAGGAAUGCUCUCUUUCUUGGAUGCCUUCUCCGGAUAUCAUCAAAUCCCCAUGUCCCCGGAUGACGAAGAAAAGACAGCAUUCAUAACGCCACACGGCCUCUAUUGCUACAAAGUCAUGCCAUUUGGACUCAAAAAUACUGGCGCCACUUAUCAAAGAUUGAUGACUAAAAUCUUCAAACCUCUGAUAGGCCACUCGGUAGAGGUAUAUAUUGACGAUAUCGUGGUUAAAAGCAAAACUCGAGAACAGCAUAUCCUUCACUUACAAGAAGUUUUUCACCUCUUGCGAAAGUAUGGCAUGAAGCUAAAUCCUUCCAAAUGCUCCUUUGGCGUGAAUGCUGGCAAAUUCCUGGGAUUUAUGGUCAGCUAAAGAGGCAUAGAAGUCAGCCCGGAUCAAGUCAAAGCAGUCAUGGAAACACCCCCUCCCAGGAACAAGAAGGAGUUACAAUGCCUCACAGGCAAGCUCGUUGCGUUAAGGCGUUUCAUAGCCCGCUUCAUUGAUGAGUUGCGACCCUUCUUCUUGGCAAUACGAAAAGCUGGAGCACACGGAUGGACGGACAGUUGCCAAAACGCUUUGGAAAGGAUUAAGCAUUGUCUUAUACAACCACCCAUCUUGAGCAGCCUCAUCCCAAAGGAGAAAUUGUACAUGUAUUUGGCAGUAUUAGAAUGGGCAAUCAGCGCCGUUCUAUUCCGCUGCCCCUCACCCAAGGAGCAGAAACCUAUCUACUAUGUCAGCAGGGCAUUGGCAGACAUAGAAACCAGAUAUUCAAAAAUGGAACUAACAGUCUUAGCCCUUCGGAGCGCUACCCAAAAGCUCCGGCCCUAUUUCCAAGCCCACCCGGUGAUCGUGUUAACCGAUCAACCCCUUCGCAACAUUCUGCACAAACCAGAUUUAACCGGGAGAAUGCUGCAAUGGGCCAUUGAGUUAAGCGAAUUUGGAAUCGAAUUCCAACCUAGAUUGGCCAUGAAAGGCCAAGUAAUGGCUGACUUCGUGCUAGAAUAUUCCCGAAGACCCAGCCAACAUGACGAAUCAAGUAAAAAAGAAUGGUGGACUCUGCGAGUUGACAGAGCCUCACGCUCAUCAGGCUCUGGAGUCGGGCUCCUAUUACAGUUCCCAACUGGGGAACAUUUGGAACAAGCCAUCCGGCUGGGAUUUUCUGCCUCUAACAACGAAGCAGAAUAUGAAGCCAUCUUGUCCGGAUUGGACCUCGCCCUCGCUCUAUCCGUCUCCAAACUCCGGAUCUACAGUGACUCACAACUCGUGGUAAAGCAUGUCCAGGAGGAAUAUGAGGCUAAAGACGCACGCAUGGCGCGAUACUUAGCUAAAGUAAGAGACACCUUGCAGCAAUUCACCGAAUGGGCAAUCGAAAAAAUCAGGCGAGCUGACAACAGGCUCGCUGACGCCUUGGCCGGCAUAGCUGCCUCCCUCCCCAUCAAAGAAGCCAUUCUAUUGCCCAUACAUGUGCAACCCAACCCCUCUGUCGCAGAAAUUUCCACCUGCAAUACCAUUGAGACAAACCAGGCGGAUGGCCAAGAAUGGACGUAUGACAUCACAGAGUAUAUCCGGACCGGCACCCUACCCGGAGAUCUCAAACGGGCACACAAAGUCCGGGUGCAAGCUGCCCGUUUCACCCUGAUUGGGGGGCACCUGUACAAGCGAUCCUUCACAGGACCUUACCUUCGAUGCCUAGGGCAGUCAGAGGCCCAGUAUGUGUUAGCUGAGUUACAUGAGGGAAUAUACGGAAAUCAUUCGGGAGGACGAUCUCUGGCACAUAGAGCUCAUUCGCAAGGAUACUAUUGGCCAACAAUGAAGAAAGACGCGGCAGCAUAUGUCAAAAGAUGUGAUAAAUGUCAAAGGUAUGCUCCCAUUCCACAUAUGUCAUCAACAACGUUAAAAUCAAUCUUAGGCCCAUGGCCCUUCGCACAAUGGGGCAUGGACAUAGUGAGACCUCUCCCAGCUGCACCUGCCCAAAAGAAAUUUUUGCUUGUUGCCACAGACUAUUUCAGUAAGUGGGUGGAAGCUGAAGCAUAUGCUAGCAUCAAAGACAAUGGUCCACAAUUUGAUAGCAUUGCAUUCAGGAAUUUCUGUUCGGAGCUAAACAUCCGGAACUCAUACUCCACACCACGAUAUCCUCAAAGCAAUGGGCAAGCAGAAGCCACAAACAAGACCCUAAUCACUGCCUUAAAGAAAAGGCUUGAGCAAGCCAAAGGAAAAUGGGUCAAGGAGCUGCCCGACGUCCUAUGGGCCUACCGAACUACACCCGGACGGCCAACAGGAAACACUCCUUUCGCUCUCGCAUAUGGAAUGGAUGCAGUCAUUCCUACCGAAAUAGGUUUCCCUACUAUCCGGACUGACGCAGCAAAACAGAGUGAUGCAAACAUAGAAUUAGGAAGAAAUUUGGAUUGGACGGAUGAAGUGAGGGAAAACGCGGCCAUCCGGAUGGCAGAUUAUCAACAAAGGGCAUUAGCACAUUACAAUCGCAAAGUGAGGCUAAGAAGCUUCAAAAAUGGUACGCUAGUCCUUAGAAAAGUUUUUGAAAAUACUACUAAAGUGGGUGUGAUUCAUGCCCAAUUGGUGUCUCAGCUGAUUCAUGUCCAGCUGGUGCUCCUUGGAUGAGGGAGUGAUCAACAAAAUUUAUACCUAUAACACCAUACACUAGGGUAGCAAAUAAAAAGCUACUAUAGUAUAGUGGCUCUAGGAUCGUUCACUGGGAAUGAUUAACAAGCAAUCAAGGAUACCAAUUCCAAGUGAAUUGGUCUUGUUUCAUUUCACGGUUAGCUUAAGAAAUAAAACACAAACUUUGAUUGGUAAAGGUUGAGACUUAAACUAACUAACUUAACAGAAGUUUGGAAUAAUUUAGGAAGAAAAGCAUUCCUUGGAGAUUUAGGUUCACUGGGGUGGUUCCUCAUGCAAAAGACACGGCUCUGGUCAGUUGGUUCAUUUCCUCGCAUUAGAGAUUCAACAUAUAGUUAAUUCUCUAACCGGUGAUGUACAGAGACUCCUUCAAUUAGAUUUCACUUUAAUUCUCUCACUGAUGCAACUUGCAAUGGUUCAUGCCUCUCACCAAGCCUCAACCAUUCAAGGUGAUCUUUAACCUUGGACUUCCUUUCACAAACUCACAAGAGAUAACUAAUGGAUGUCUCCUAAGAGUCCAAAAGCUUAUCAAGUGUUGGUUAUUCUAGAAAAUCCCACCUUGAAGUCACCUACCAAAGGCUCGCAAGGGGUAAACUAGUGCAUUUCCAUGGUUGGAAAUCACUUGCCUUACCAAGUGUUGGCCCAGGUGACUCUAAGGUGUUUUAAGUUAACUAAAAACAUUGAAAUCACUAAAGGAUUUCACUUCCUCUUCAUUACUAGCUAAAACCACAAAGCUUUGCAUUCUUGCACUUGGAACCUUCCCCGGCAACCUUAGCUCCAAGGAAUUGGAGGUUUAGUUACUCAUUCUCUGGGGAAAACUCCUCAGAGAAUUUAUAACUAAAAAAUAAAAUGAAAAUACAAAGUGAGAAGGUAAGGCAGUAGAAAGAAAAGACCUUUACUUGCUUACCAAAUGGUUACAGAAAAAACUCCUCCUUGAGAACAUGCUCCCGAGAGGUAUUUAUAUCAAAACAAAAUAAAACUAAUUCUUACAAAGAUAUUUAGUCUUUUUACUAACUUAAAAACUAAGGAAUCAUGUAAUUGGUCGUUUACAAGGAGUAUUUUGGGAUUUAGACAACAAAAAUCUAAUGGAAAAUAUCUCCCAAUGUCGGUAGCAAGCUUCGGGAGGCUUCAGGAGCCAUUUUGCAGGAGAAAAGUGGUGUCUGCGAAAUUGGUAGCAAGCUUCGGGAGGCUUCAGGAGCCAUUUUGCAGGAGAAAAGUGGUGUCUGCGAAAUUUCGCAGACACCCAAGAGGGCUGCGAAAUAUUUUUGCAAUAGCAAGCUAUCUUCACCAGGCUGCAAAGUUGGCUUCCAUCUUGAGGUUCCUAGCUUCCCUCUUGCGGCAUAAAUCAGGCAUCGUCAGAAGGAGAAACACUCUACUGUACAAAAAUGCUGCGAAAUCACUUCGCAACAAAAGGGUGAUUUCGCAACACUCUCCAAAAUGUUCUCUUCAGCUCGGAGUGAUUGGCUUGUAAUGGCUGCAACUUCUUCGUUUCAACUUCGAAUUGCACACCGUUUGAAGCAUUGGAUUGUUGACUUCCUGAGCUUUGAAAUGGUAUAUAGCAUGCAUCAUUUGGACUUCAGAAAGUGCCCCAAAAGUGGCUGCUACAACUGUCAUCAAGAACAUGCUUUAUGGCAGAUUCUCUUUGCUUUUUCUCCUUGCAAUCCGGAUUCACUCUUCUAAGCUUUGCCCAAGAUUCCUCAUAGCUCUCCUCAUUAUUGACUUGCUUUGGUGAUCAAAAUACUAACAAAAACACCAAAACUUACACAAAGUGAUCAAAAUUGCUUUAAAGGAUCCUUAACAUGCCAAUUGAGUUAAAAGGCCUAAACUACUACUCAAAAGUGGUUAAAAGGAUUGAUUAUAGGCUAAUCAAAUAGCACUUUUUGAGUAGUAAUCAGGGUGCAGGGAAAUUCCAAGCCAACUGGGAAGGACCCUAUAUAGUGUCUAAGGCAAGUGACAAUGGAGCCUAUCAUUUACAAAAGUUAGACGGAACUCCAUUACUUAGGCCAUAGAAUGUGUCUAAUUUAAAACAGUAUUAUCAAUGAAAAAGCAAAGACAAGUGCAAAUGGAAAAAUAACUGUUUUAUUGAUGUAUAUAAAUGUAUGUACAAAGAGGUCUCCGGACCAUAGAAAGUACAAAAAGAAGAUUACAGCAAAAAGUUGCAAAACGACAAAAGCUAUCAGGGAGCAGCCUUAAAGUUUCUUCUCUUCACCCGGAGGAAUUGAAGGGACAUCCCGCUUUAUGCCAUUCUUCUUCAUACAACAGCGAUAGCCGAAGAUGAAGGUGUCAUCCACUUGUUUUUGGUAGUCCACUUCAAGUUCCUCCCUUUCUACAGCAAACUCCCGCUCAAGCUCUUCUCUUUGCACGGAUAAGCGCAACUGCAAAUCUUCCUUCUGCUUCUUUUCAAUAGAAGCCUCUGUCCGGAGUUGCCUCACCUCUCCCCCUAUCCGGGCUAUCUCAUCCUCUGCCUCAUGCAGACGGGCAAUCGAUGAUUCCUCCCGGUCCUUAGCCUCAGCCAAUUCCACCCGAAGGGCUUCAUUGUCCUCUCGAGCGGUGGAUAAGCUGGCUUCAGCCUCCGCCAGUCUCAGGCGCAACUGAUCUUCAGCAUCUUUGCGCCGAAUGGCGAAGGCCUUCAUAUAAUCAGUGGUCCGCAGCAGGUCAGUGAAAAGAUCGUAUUGAUUGGCCAUGCCACGGAGACCACUCACCAGCUGCAGGCAAAUAGUCAAAACAAGAAAAGCAAAAUUAGAAAUCACACCGCAAACGCACAUCAGGAUGACAAAAAUCAAAGAAGCAUAAAAGCAGUUUACCGUUUCCACCAUCUCGAACAUCUGGGCUGAAGUCAUGACAGUGGGCAAGCCAGGUGGAAUCUGUUUCAGCUUCUCUUCCAACUCCGUGUAGCUAAAAGGACUAGCGGAGCCGCAAGCAGCAUCAUUAACAGGAUCCCCGCCUGAUGAGGCAACAGAAGGAGACUCUUGUUCCGGAUUCUGGGCCUCAACAUUUACGACCGGAUGGGUCUCCCCGGGUGCAACCUCAGCCGGGACCAUCACAGGGACGGCUGAAGGCUCAGUUGCCAUCUCCACUUCACCCCCCUCCGGAUGAGCGUCGUGGGCGGAUGAGCAACUAACUUCAAUCUCUUGCUGACGAUCUUGAAGCCGCCCGAGGAGUUCGGACCUCAGAUUGCGCGCCGAGCGAGGCCUCUUUGAAGGUGGCCCCUUCACCAGAAUAAGAGCCAGACAGUCCAGAUCGUCAGAGGGCUGACUCUGACUUUCCGCCCCAGCUUCCUCCAUGGGGGUCGCACAAACGGCCUCAGCUGCAUCGGCAUCUGAAUUACGAGAGUCCGGAUGGUUGACGGACACAGCUUCCUCAGCCAAAUUCGCCAGACGGGCAACCGCUGCCAAGGAGGUGCUUGAGUGGUUCAGCCCCGCGACGUGUCCGGAUCCGCUUGAGAUGGAAUGAGGAGCAAGGUUCACGGGCUCCUCUAUCAUUACCUCCGCCUCGUGAGUAAUGGGCGGAGGAGCAAAUUCCUUGGGAGGAGUGGGCUCCUUCACGUCCUUCCCAUUCUUCUUCACCAGCUUCCUCCUUUUCGCUGGAGUUUUCUUUGGAGAAGAGUCUUGAUUACUACCAAAAAGUGCUAUUUUGUAGACCUAAUUAUAAUGGUUUUAAGCACCUUUGCGUAGUAAUCAUAUUCAUUUAACCCAAUUAAUUCAUUAAGGUCCUUAGUAAUUGGUUUUAACCAUUUUGUGGCAAGUUUACAUGUUUAUAUCAGCUUAUGAAUCAAUUCAAGCAUGCCAAAUGAUGGAGGAGCUACUUGGACAAGUUAAAGCAAGAUUUUAGCUACACCAAAGCAAGCCAACAAAAGGAGAAAAGCAAAGAGAAGCAAAGAGAAGCAAAAAGAAGCAAAGAGGAAAACAGAUGACAGCAGCUUCAGUCUUCUUUGGCACUUUUGGAGUACUUCCCGAAGUCCAUUUUCUACAUACUAUAUACCAUUUCAAAGCUCAGGAAGUCAAGAAUCCAACGUUUCAAACCGUGUACAAUUUGGAGCUGAAAUGAGGAAGAUAUGGCCUUCAGAAGACAACUGCUCCAGGGUUGUGCGAAAAUUUCGCACAACACCUUCCAAAUUCGCACAGCCCAUGCGUGGUGCGAAUUUUCCUCUGUUUCUGCCGACUCCACACGAGAUCUUUUCUUUUGGAUAUUUUUGUAUAAAUUUCCAUUCUUCUCCUUGUAAUCCACCAAUCAUAAGAUUUCUUAGCUAGGAAGGUUGGAAAAACUUCUCUAUUUAUAUCCCCUUGCAUCCGUUGUAACAAAUAUUGAUAUAUUGAUAUAUAGAUAUAGAAUACAUAUUACGUUUUACACUUAGAAUAUUUACAGAGCUCUCCCGUUUCUAUUUUCUUAGUAGCCAAACAGCCUUUGAGGGUUUUUCCUCAAAGGAUGAUUGGCUAAAACUUUUAGUUUCUCAAAGUAUGGAUGUUAUGUGAUGACUUGGAUGCAAUCCCAUGGAAAUUUCUCGCACCUAGAAGGUAAGGUAGUCGUUUUUCAUUAAAGGUUCAUUAAGGCAAAGUUUGGUUUUUAUUUCCUUUGGACAACUUCCAACGGCCAAUACUUGAUAAGCUUUUGGAUUUCUAUCCAUUAGUUAUCUCCUACGAGCUAUUGGAAGAUGAGGUUUUCAAUUCCAAGUUUUGCAUUAAUCCGUUAGAACCAAUUUCAAUGGCCAUUGAAAGGUGAGUUUAUCACCUGGAAUGACUUUGAGUUGCCAAUAUUUGGUAAGCUUUUGGCUUUAGACCAUUAGUUAUCUCUUACGAGCCAUUCAAAGGAAGUCUAAGGUGAAUAACCAUUGAUGAAAUUCACUACCAUCUAUUUUGCCAUUUUAAAGGAUUAAAACUUGAUUUGCUAAAUCCAUACCGGUUCGGGAAGCAAGCAUCACCAUAGUUGCAACCCCAACGCGAGGAGCCUAUCCUGAGAUUUUCAAUUUGCAUAAGAGCCAGAGCAUAGCUAUCCUAUCUUUGAGAAACUUGUUUUUACACCCUUUCAUUUUAGUCUUUAAUGUUAGCUUAGAUUAGUUUAAAUCUUUCUAAAACAUUUACAUCUUCUUUUAAAGCUAACAUCCAUAAGAAAAUCACCUAUUUUCCUAAUUUGAAUAUCACUUGUGUUUGCGAAAACCCUUCCCAGUGAACGAUCCUAGAACCACUAUGCUAUAGUAGCUUGGCUACUUUAGUAAUAGUAUUCAAGGUAUAAAUUUUGUUGAUACGCCUUUAAAGCUAAGCUACCAUGAGUCGAAUCAAGUCUCCGUCGCGUUUCUGUUCGGGAGCCUUCCGAAGGGUUCCUUCGUUUUUCUUCUUCUCCCGAUUGUCCAGGAGAACUCGGCGUUUUUCAGCGUCAGCCUCUUUUAACGCCUGGUAAAUCGGGAGAUCCUUCACAGUGUAAUGCUCCCCAGGCACUACCUCAUUUGGCAUCUUCCUGGGGAGAAUGUUGAUAACGUAUUCUUGGGGCUCCAGGACGACCGCCAUCAGGUUCCGUGCAGUCAGCAGCGUCUUGCACUGCCUCUCCUUGGCCUCUAUCUCAAACAACUUGCUAAGACAGGCAAAAGACGCCUUUUCCACCCAGUCCACAAGGUGGCCCCUCAAUUCCGGACCUACAAUAACAGCAACAAAAGAUGAGAACACCAUCCGGAAAAGUCAACAAAAAAUCAACAAAGUAAAAGCCGGACAAUAGUCGCAAAGCAAACCUACCCGGGACCAUCAAGGAGUAGUUUGGAGAGAAAGGCCUCGCCGGAUGCUCCAAAAACCCCGCCCAGGCACCCCGGACCACCACGUGUCCCGUCGCCCCUCCCUUUAUCGAAUCUGGUAGCUCCGUCACCAAUUGAAGGGAGGGCAGGUGUGCGGACAUGCUGAAGAUGUCAUUUUUUACCUUCUUCAGAGAAUAAACAAAAAACACCUCCAGCAGCGUGAGGUCGAGGUCGUACAGCAUGUUUAUGAUGUUGCAUCCCAUCAGCACCCGGACGAUGUUGGGAUGAAUGAAGACGGGAGGAAUCUGGGUGAAAUGAAGGAACUCCUUGAACAACGCCGGCAGAGGGAACCGGAGCCCCGCGUUGAAUUGUUCCUUCGAAAAGAUGAUGGUUUUUUCUUCUGAUUUAUCAGUAGGCACAAGCACCCUCCCAUCCAGCAAUUCAAUAGCCACGCUAUUCGGGAUACAGAACCGUUCCCGGAAUUCCUUCGCGUCCAGCUUAUCUGUCGUUUUUUCACGAACCUCGCUAGCCCGGGAAGUUGAAACAGUCUUUUUUGCAGCCAUUUCUUACCACAAAGACAAACCAAAAUCUACAUACAAAGAAGCGCAAUGGGUAAAACACAAGUAACCCAGAAACUACACAAACCCUAAACCAAAGCAGUCAGAAAAAAAAAAAAAAAAAAUAACCCUCAAAAAACCCCAAAGCACCAACAAAUGCCAAACAGUCGUAAGCGACUUACCCAAACAAAACCCAAACAAAUCAGAAACCAAGACCAAAGAACCAACAAAUGCAACAAAAGGAACAACAAUAGCAAAAGUACACGUACCAAAUGAAGCUCUGAAGGAGAAAGGUUGCUGCCUCGAUACAAAAUCACCAACAGCAAACGAACGACGCAACACAAAAUCACCGAUACAAAAGAGCUUUCGAGUUUCUUUUCUCAGAGAAGCAAAGGACACAACGGAAGCAAGAAGAAGAAAGGCUCUCAGGAGAAUGCAGUAGGGAAAAAAAUGCAAAAAGAAGGUACAGUGCGCUAUUUAUAAGGGGACAAGACCUCGGAAAGCCAAACGUCCAAACAAAUGCCAUCAUUGAAACGACAUAUUGCCUGGGAAUACCCAGGGUCGGCGGCUCAUCAUAAAUGUCUUUUUUGGCUUCCGCACCCCCACUCGCCACGUGGCCCAGUCAGACGAAGAGACCUCUUCAGUUUUCAAAAAAACCAGUUAUUUUUAACCCGCCCAUUUUCUGGGCAAAAUAGGCAAGUUAAAAAGGGGGGCAAUGUAGGGACCCCUCCCUUUGGGAAACAUAUGGCACGCAUCUCACAGUGACACGUGGCACGUGUCAUCAGCCGGACCAUCAUCAUCCGGAUCCCCCUAAGGAUGCGUAUUAUACAGUUCUCCUAUCCGGACCGCCUCAAGGAAAGGCAAAUGACGUUUCAGCUUCUCCUAUCCAAGGAAGAGCAAAUGACGCUGACAGAUCAUAGACAUCCGGACAACCUUCAUAACACAUUCGCUCCACAAUACAUCCGGAUAAUCAGCAUGUGACAUCCGGAUAUAAUCGUCCGGCUCAUCAAUUAAAGUAAAGCGAGUCUUACACGCUAUCACAACAAACAGCCAUGGCCCACAUCCUAUCAUCUGCAGAGUGAGAAGACAAGAUGAAGUGACAGCAAGUCACUUCCCACGAUCAGUUUUACGUGAUCACUUCCCACAAUCUUUGACAGCCGCAUCACCUACCAUGGUUUCUGACAGCCGCUCGUAGGGUGAUGAUGCUCCUACUGACGCCUAUUAUCAUCAUAACAACAUAAAAUAUCUCCUCACCAUUAAUGAGGAGGACAGUACCCCUGAAGCUGUUUAUAUAAGCCUUCACACGAAGAAGAAGGGGAUCAUCCUGGUAACCUCCUAAUACCUGGUAAAGGGCCAACUGAUUUAUAUCUCUCUCUGACCAUGGCUAACAAAACCAUCGGAGGGUGCGUCCGGACACCCUGUCUGGAUGCCUUCUUGCAGGUAUAACGACUGGAUCAAGAACCUUUAUGAGUUGAAAUCACGUGUCCAUCCAUUUGGCAACUACGUGGAUCAUCAAAGACGCGAGGUAUCAACAAUUGUUAUUUUGAACCCGCUUUUCUGAUGGCAUAUCCACUCCGGAAUCCCAUUUCUUUCAGCAAUAAAAGUUCUGACAGGUCUUCUAAAGUCACGCGCCUGCACAAAAAUUACCCUCUGAAUUUUGUGUCCCCGUGAAAAGAAAGGUUAACUGAUGUAUGAAAACCAUAUCUGAAUUUUGGAUUUAAAACAUUUGAAUAAAGAAGACCACAGUAGAAUUGAUGGACAUCUAGAUAAAUUAAACCUGAUGGAAGUUCUGGAAUAUGUUGAAGCAUCUUGCAGUGACUCAAGUAAGAGAUAAUGAUACCAGUGAUGAUAGGUAAUAAAUUUCACUGGGAAAUUCCCUUAGAUUGCAGCCUUGAAGCUUUAAUGUCCUCAAGGAGCAUAAACCGGACAAAGACGGCAAUGGAAAAUUCAUUGAAUCUAAAUGCCCAACAAUAAGAUGCUCUAAAGAUUGCAGUCUCCCCAAGUUGUCUGGCAAUUUGUUGAAGUUUGGACAGCUUCUGAUAAAGAGAGUUUUAAAAGAUGUCAAAUUACAAAUACUCUCAGGAAGAUUCACAAGGUUUUUGCAUUGUGACAGAAACAAAGAUUGAAGCUCUCUUAGAUGUUGAAUUGAUGAUGGUAUCUCUUUUAUGGCGGUUCUAUCUAAAUAAAGAUUUCUCAAGCUCUCCAUAUCUUGCAGGAUUUCUGGAAAGCUCUCUAGUUGUGAACAGCCAGAGCAGGAGAGAGUUGCAAGGGAUUUGAAAUCAAAAAUGCUACUGGGCAGACUAGUAAGAUUGUUGCAAUCCUGAAGACAUAAACUAUCAAGUUCCAAGGGAUUCUCGAUAAUGGGUACUUCAUUCAUAUCACUGCCCUUAAAACAGCACUUCCGUCGAAGCGUCCCAUCCCGUUGGCAUGCCCGACAUAUUCUAACAUCUGCAUCCUCAUGGCUUUGUUGAAGGUCUUGGGAGUAUAUAAGGCGGACUCCACACUCCUUUACUUUCAAGGCUUUCUCAGAAUUACUGUAAAAGUCGUAAAAGGUAAACCCAAUGUGAGUCCAUUGAUCAGAGCAAUACCUUUCCGGAAUAGCCGCCUUGGUAUAGCAAAUCACCCACGUCUGACCUGAUACACUCUCAUUAUCUUCGUCCUUGUCUUCUUUAUAGCAAAAACAAUUGGAUUGAAAGCAAGGACGAUCUAAAACUUCACGUCCAUCACCAAUCAUAGCCAAAGUACACAUCAGACUACAAGAACGUGUAUGUUUAUGUUCAUUCUUACGAAAAGAUUCAGCCACAGAUUUAUCGUCUGUUUCAUUCUCCCAUGCAUAAGCAGAUUCAUCCUUAGAUUUAUUGUCUGAUUCAUUCUUGGACCCGUGUGCAGAUUCCUUUUCGGGUAUGUCCUCAGAUUCGUAAGCAAGUGGAACAUAAACACAGCAUGUAGAAAAUCCCAAAAACUCAUUAUUUUGGUGCCAAUUCUGAGGGAGCUCUGUUUGUGUAAAAUAUAUAGUUGUCCGAUCCAUAAUCCAUUCUGGAAUUCCAUCACUUCCGGGAAGAACAAUGCAAGUUCCCUUGCCAUGGUAGGAAGAAUCACUAAAACUAGUGCGUUUCGAAUCCUGCACCAAAGCACCAUGUAAAUAUAGUAAAUAUAGAGUUUGCAUAUAACUAGUUGUAGGGAAUUAAACCGAAUUCCCAACCCAUGAGAAACAAAAAAAUAGAGAAAACACACGCCAAAGAAAAACAAUCACACACACAAGACAAUAUUUACGUGGUUCGGCAAUUUGCUUACGUCUACGGAGUUGCAGGGAUAUCACUAUUAUCAGGGAAGAAUACAGAGUACAACCUAGCUGCUACAAUAUUCUCUCUAUAUAUAUAACACGACAACCCCAUCACACUAAAAAACCCUAAUUACAAAAGGUGGUUCCACAAUGGGCUAAAAGAGCCCAACAGGCCUCAAUAAAUCUCCCAUUAAAAAGACAUGCAAUAUUAUUCGGGUCGGGUCGUCAAAUCGGAUCAAACAAAACUAGGCUCCACAAAGCCCAACAAAUCUCCCACUUGGAGACUAGUCCAAUCACCACAUCAAACCGCUAUCCUCCAAGAAACAAUCCCUCAUCCCUACAACUUAUCCUCCUGUCCUCAAGCUAGAAGACCAAUUGAAGCUGCGCAUAGCUUCAACUUCUCAAUAGUGACACCCUUAGUCAACAUGUCUGUCGGGUUCUUAGAUCCACAAAUCUUCUCAAGUAUUACCAGUUUAUCUUCAACAAAAUAACGGAUAAAGUGGUAUUUUGUUUGUAUAUGCUUCAACUUUGAAUGAAAAGCCGAUUUUUUUGCAAGAAAAAUUGCACUCUGACUGUCACUGUGUAGAAUGCCCAUCUCCUGCUUCUUACCCAAUUCAUCUAAGAAAACAUGUAGCCAAAUCAUCUCCUUUCCAGCUUCAGUUGCUACAACAUACUCAGCUUCUGUGGUAGACAAAGUAACAAUCUUCUGUAGAUUUGAAGCCCAUGAUAUAGCUGUACCACCUAGAGUAAAAACAAACCCAGUAGUACUCUUUCUACUAUCAAUAUCACUAGCAAAAUCAGCAUCUACAUAACCCUGCAAUUUCAAACUUGCACCUGUGAAGCAAAGACAUGUAUCUAAUGAACCCUUCAGAUAUCUUAAAAUCCACUUGACUGCCUCCCAAUGCUGCUUUCCAGGCCUACUCAUGAAUCUGCUCACAACUCUCACUACAUGUGCAAUGUUUGGCCUUGUACACACCAUAGCAUACAUCAAGCUACCAAUAGCUGAGGCAUAGGGCACCUUGCUCAUAUGGUCCCUUUCUUCUUCUGUCUUUGGUGACUGUUCUUUGCUUAGUUUGAAAUGACUACCCAAGGGUGUGCUCACUGGUUUAGCUUCAUUCAUGUUGAACCUGCUGAGAACUUUCUUCACAUACUCUGACUGUGAAAGCUUCAAUGUACCAUUAGCCUUGUCUCUAAUGAUUCUCAUACCAAGGAUUUGCUUUGCAGCUCCCAAAUCCUUCAUUGCAAAUUGUUUGGACAAUUGCUUCUUCAUAUUAUUAAUCUUCUCAAUGUCAGACCCUACAAUAAGCAUAUCAUCCACAUACAAUAGUAAUAUGAUGUAAAAAUUGUCAAAGGACUUAACAUAGCAACAAUGAUCAGCUUUACAUCUCUUGAACCCAAUUCUAUGCAUAAAAUUGUCAAACUUCUUGUACCACUAUCUAGGAGCUUGUUUAAGGCCAUACAAGCUCUUUCUCAGUUUGCAGACUAGAUUCUCUUGUCCCUGAACAAUGAACCCUUCUGGCUGAAUCAUGUAAAGGUCUUCCUCCAAGUCACCAUGAAGGAAUGUUGUCUUCACAUCUAACUGCUCAAGAUGUAAGUUUUCUGCAGCCACCAUUCCAAGUACAAGUCUAAUUGUUAACAUCUUCACAACUGGAGAAAAUAUCUCUGUGUAGUCAAUGCCCUCCUUCUGCUGGAACCCUUUAACAACUAAUCUGGCCUUGUAACGUUUGCUACCAUCAUGCUCAUUCUUUAUUCUGUAUACCCACUUAUUGUGCAAAGCCUUCUUUCCUACUGGCAAUUCAGUCAGUUCCCAUGUCUGAUUCCCUAAUAGGGAAUCCAUCUCAUUCUUCAUGGCUAACUCCCACUUGCUUGAAUUCUCAUCUUGCAAGGCUUCAUCAUAACACUCUGGCUCACCACCAUCAGUCAACAAGAGAUAAUUUAAAACAGGUGAAUAACGUUGCGGAGGUCUAAUGUUCCUAGAAGAUCUGCGAACUUCAGCUACAGGUGUACUCAAAUCUACCUGUGAAUUUACAUUUUUCUUAUCUCCUUCACCCCCUUUUUGGACAGUACUUUCAGUCAAUUCAUCUAAGUUGACAAACUCAGAUUUCUUUUGAUCUAUCUCUAUAAUAUCUGACACUACAGUUGACCUGUCCUUGUACAUAACCUGUUCAUUAAAUAUCACAUUUCUACUUCUGAUGAUUUUCCUAUUUUGUUCAUCCCAAAACCUAUAGCCAAAUUUCUCAUCACCAUAGCCAAUGAAAAAACAUAUUUUUGACUUUGCAUCAAGUUUACUACGAGCAUCAGAAUCAAUAUGAACAUAAGAAACACAACCAAAAACUUUUAAAUGUGAAAACUUCACCUCUUUACCGCUCCAAACCUCCUUAGGAAGUCUGAACUCCAUGGGAACUGAUGGUCCUCGGUUUAUUAGGUAAGCUGCAGUGCUAACAGCAUCAGCCCAAAAAGUUUUUGGUAGUCCAGCAUGCAACCUCAUACUUCUAGCACGCUCAUUGAGAGUUCUGUUCAUGCGCUCAGCCACACCAUUUUGCUGUGGUGUCCUAGGAAUGGUCUUCUCCAUCCUAAUUCCCUGUGCAGCACAAUACUCACUGAACCCUCCAUCUAUGUACUCUCCUCCAUUAUCUGACCUCAAACAUUUUAUUUUCAAAACUAUUUCUGUCUCAACCAUGGCCUUUCACUUCUUAAAAGUUUCAAAUACAUCUGAUUUAUUUUUCAGAAAAUAAACCCAUACCUUUCUACUUGAGUCAUCAAUAAAAGUGAUCUAGUACCUUGAACCUCCUAGGGAUGCAACCGGAGAAGGCCCCCACAAAUUAGUGUGCACUAGUUCCAAUUUUUCAGCCUUCGGUGUCCUGCUAGUUUUCAAGAAGCUCACAUUUUUUUGCUUUCCUAAGAUGCAACUUUCACACAUGUCAAAAUCAAUGGACUUCAAUUCUGGUAGUUUUCCUUUUAACAACAACAUCUUCAUCCCUUUCUCACUCAUGUGACCAAGUCUGCGGUGCCAUAGGCUUGUAUCAGUACUUGCAUCAGCAACUGCAAUUGUGUCUCUUGGACAUGAGGUCAUAUACAGAGUACCAGUCUUCUUUCCACGAGCCAAUACCCUAGCUCCCUUUGUAACCUUCCAAGUACCACCAACAAAUAGUAUUGCAUGUCCAUCAUCAAGUUGUCCAAUAGAAAUCAGAUUCCUCCUCAGGUCAGGAAUAUGUCGAACCUUCUCCAGUAACCAAACAGACCCAUUGGGCAACGAUAUCCGGACGUCUCCCAGACCCACAACAUCCAAGGCUGAACCAUCAGCCAAAUACACCUUACCAAAAUCACCUGCAAUGUAAUUCUGUAUGAUUUCUCGGUGUGGAGUAGUAUGAAACGAAGCUCCUGAAUCCAAAACCCAAUCAUCAAGUGGACUGUCUACUGUAAGAAGUAAUGCAUCCUGUACCUCUUCUGUUACAGCAUUAGCAGAAUCAUCUUCAUUCUUCUUCUUAGGGCUUUUGCAUUGCCUUUUAAAGUGACUUGUUUUCCCACAAUUCCAGCAUUGUACUUGUUGGCCUGAUCUAGAUUUGCUUCUGUUUCGAUUAGAAUUUCUGGAAUUUGAUCUACCCCGAUUUGAAUUUCUGUCAUUACCUUUGCCUCUUGUCUCAAGGUUUAGGGCAGAACCAGAUCCUGAGGUUUCACCUGCAUCUCUUCGGCGAAUCUCCUCAGCCAGAAUUAAAUCUCGUAUAUCAUUGUACUUGAGCUUUUCCUUUCCCGUAGAAUUGCAUACUACCAUCCUCAUUGCCUCCCAACUGUUUGGCAAAGAAGCCAAGACGAUCAGAGCACGAAUCUCAUCAUCAAAAUCAAUUUCUACAGACGACAAUUGAUUUGUGAUUGUAUUAAAUUCAUUCAGAUGUUGUGCUACUGAUGCAUUCUUUGCCAUCUUCAAAUUGAACAAUUUCUUCAUCAGAUGCACCUUAUUGUUUGCGGACGGCUUUUCAUACAUACCGGACAAAGCCUUCAUCAAAUCUGCUAUGGUCUUCUCCUUUACAACAUUAUGUGCAACAGACUUAGACAGAGUUAACCUAAUAAUUCCUAGAACCUGUCUGUCAAGAAGUGCUCAUUCCUCAACCUUCAUACUCUCAGGUUUUGUCCCCAAAAGAGGCAGAUGCAAUUUCCUCCCAUAGAGAUAAUCUUCAAUCUGCAUCCUCCAAUACGCAAAGUCUGUGCCAUCAAACUUUUCUAUUCCAGACGCCUUUCCUGCUUCCUCUGCCAUUGCUCCCACUCAAACCUAACCCUAGGCUCUGAUACCAGUUGUAGGGAAUUAAACCGAAUUCCCAACCCGUGAGAAACAAAAAAAAAUAGAGAAAACACACGCCAAAGAAAAACAAUCACACACACAAGACAAUAUUUACGUGGUUCAGCAAUUUGCCUACGUCCACGGAGUUGCAGGGAUAUCACUAUUAUCAAGGAAGAAUACAGAGUACAACCUAGCGGCUACAAUAUUCUCUCUAUAUAUAUAACACGGCAACCCCAUCACACUAAAAAAACACUAAUUACAAAAGGUGGUUCCACAAUGGGCUAAACGAGCCCAACAGGCCUUAAUAAAUCUCCCAUUAAAAAGCCAUGCAAUAUUAUUCGGGUCGGGUCAUCAAAUUGGAUCAAACAAAACUAGGCUCCACAAAGCCCAACACUAGUGUGUGACAUGAAAAUCAUACCUAUGCCCAACUGAAGCAAUUGACCAAAGAAUGCAAUGACAAAAAUGGGGCUCUUGAUGAAGUGCGAUUUGAACCGUGUGCAUCUAAAAGCCGUAGACGUGAUGGAAGCUCUGGAAUUUGUUCAAGAUUGCUGCAGUGACUAAGGUUAAGGGUUUUCAGCCUGGAAAGCUGAUUGAUGGUAGGAGGCAUGCUACUAAAAUGGCCCCCUUCCAGAUUUAGUUUUUGUAAUGAUGAUAAAUAGCAAAUAUCACUAGGAAUUCCUCCUUCCAUCAUGUUGCAGAGACCUAGGUCCAAUACUUUCAAUGAUGAUAAGUGGCAAAUAUGACCAGGGAUUUUGUGGAGCUUUCAACACUCUUCAAGUAGGAGAGUUUGAAGACCAUUUAGAUGUGUAAUUGAUGACGGUAAGUCCAUUGUAGUUGUUCCACUCAAAUCAAGCACCCUUAGCUUUCUUAUAUUGCCCUUGAUUUCUGGAAAUCUCUCUAACUUUGAACAGCCAUUGCAAGACAACGUUUGAAGGUGUUUCCACUUAUAAAUGCGUCUUGGAAGAAGCUCCAGGCUUACACACCCUGCAAGAUUCAAGGGAAAAUAAAAAAUCAAAAAAGUUAGUCUUAGUAAUUAUAAUACUGCUGCACCAAUCAUUUAAGUACCAUGCAUUGUACAACCUUCUAGAGUUAGAAUCUCCAAGUUUGGGACACUUGAGAAGUCUGGAAUUCUGAUGAGAUGGACAGAGUGACUGAGAUCAAUAACCCUCAACUUGUCAUGAAGCUGUAACAAAAUAAUUUUUUUCAAUAGAUAAAUUUACAUGCUAAAAAUUAAUAUAAAAUUACACUGUAACUAAAUAAUAAUAACAAUACCUUAUUCCCCCUCCAAGCUCGCUUUAUAUUGCUGUCCCUUAAUGAGAGUUCAACAAGGUUCUUUGCAUGAAAAUUAACUGGCAAAGAUUCUAAAGGGUAUCCAUCCCAAUGCAGAUAUCUUAGCUCAUAAGAAGGGAAUUCAAAGUCCCUUGGAAGGUGGUUUUCAAGAAACAACUUUCUACGCAGGUUAUGGAUUUUGAGCAAUCUAAGUUUAUGCAUCUCUUUGAAAGAUUCCGUGGUAAGCUGUGAUGGAUUAAAUUUACAUCUAUCUAGGAAUAGUCCUUCAAUUGCUCGUGUCCCAAGAAAAAUAUAAGACAAGUAAGUGAAACAAAAGAUGCAUUAAACUUAAUUGAGUUAUAUACAUGGCUAAUUUCUGAAAAAAUAACAAUAGUAUUGAAGCUUGGAUACAUAGGUAUAAACAAGUUCAUGCAUUUGACUCUUACCAUAUUUUGUAUAAGCACAUGAUAGGCCUUAGAAUCCCUCAAUCUACUCCUUCUUCCAGGGUCUUUAGGACAUUCUUGACGAAUAAUCUCCCAACCCAUUUGUUGUAUUAAAUGAUGCAUAUCUAGCAUGUUUUUUGAAACAGUUAUGAGACAUCUAUCAUCUAGAGUUGUUAUUCCAUGCUUUGCAUGUGGGCCCAAUAUUCUUGAAACAAAAUCUUUGUCAUCUCCUUUGAAAAAACACGCAACAUCCAAAAAUAUCCCUUUGUCUAUGUCAUCGAGUCCAUCAAAACUUAUUCUAAGUACAUUGUGAAUUUCCAUGUGGGGUAUUAUUUUUAGCUUACACAAUGCACCUUCCCAUUCACUUAUUUUCUUUCCAAAAGAGAAGCACCCAAAACUUUAAGUGCUAAUGAAAGGCCAUUAGCAUAAUCUAUGAUAUUGUAUGAGAGGUUUUUAUAAACUUUUUUGGGAUGAUUUUGUUUAGAGGCCCACAAACUAAAUAGCUCAAUUGCUUCUUCCUUGUUUAAUUUUGAAACCUCAUAUGGUAUAUCCACUCCAUAUCAAGCAAGCACGUGUUUGUCUCUAGAUGUAAUGAUGAUUGUACUUUUUGCCUGAAACCAAUCCUUAUCUUCAGCCAAACAUUCUAGUUGUUUCAACUCAUCCACAUCAUCAAAAAUAAUAAGAACUCUGUUGGAGCUUAGACACCUCUUUAUCAUACUAAUUCCUUCAUCAACAUUGUUUAUCUUAAAAAAAUUUCCCCUUAGGAUACCAUGAAGAAGUUCAUGUUGUAACUGAAGUAUAUCACCUUUGGAUCUCUCUCUGAUAUUUCUAAGAAAGCUACUACCAUCCUAUUGACACGAGAUCUCAUUAUAAAUAGCCUUGGCGAUAGUAGUCUUACCAACCCCACCAGUUCCACAUAUCCCUAUGACUCUAACCUUAUUUAACUCGGUGUUCAUCAACAAUUUCAAAUUUUCCAAAUGAACACUAAUUCCAACCACGUUUUUUCCCACACUUAAAGGUUGAAGGUCUAAUCUUCUAAUGAUUGUAUUAACAAUUUCCUUGACAACCUCAGUCUCAUACCUGCCAAUCAUAUAAAUUAAGUAAAAUGAUGAGUUAGAAUGAGUUGCAAAAUAUAAUAAAUUUAAAAUAAAUUUAGUUGUGUAUGGUCUUGUCCAAUAUUAUUGAAUUAGUAGCAAUGGAAUGAAAAAGAAAGGGGUCAAGCCAAUUUACUUACAUAUUUAAGCUUCAAAUUUGUAAGUAUCAAACUACUAAUGUGCCAAGUUGCAAAUUUUCAAUACUCUUACUGUUGGAGCAUUGUGUAGGACUCCUCUAUGAACAAGUUAAUGCCUUCUUUCAACUUUUAUUUCACAACCAACUUGCUUAUGAUUCCUCAAUUUCACUUGUCUUUAGGUUUUAUUAACUUACCAAUACUUACCAAUGUUGCAAAGACUGUUUUUAGCCUGCCAAUUAAUUUUGCAUUUCCAUAGAGGAAUCAGGAAACGAGUGAAUGUGGAGAAUUUCAUGAUUUGCUUGUUGAUUGGGAACUUAAAUAUGAUUUGCUUUAGAGAAAAUUAUAAAAGGGUUAAAUUUUGAUAAUUGUAUUUUUGGACCAACACAAGGGAAAAAUGAAAGUUAGAUUUUGUUAACAAUUUCAUACUUACUUUUGUAUCAUCUCCUUCUUUUCUUGAUUUGCAUCUCUUUCAUGGUAGGCAAGUGCGUCUCCGAAACUUCACCUUUGGUUUCGUACAUCAGAUGGAUCCACAUGGUAGAAAAUUGGUAGAACCACUGAUUCCUUUUGGCUCUUGCGUUCAAUGAUCUUUACGAGUUCAUUUAAACACCAUCUGGAGUAAGCAUAAUUUUUUGAGAAAAUAACAAUAAAAAACCUCGAUUCUUCUAUAGCUCUCAAGAGAUCAGAUGCAAUAUCUCCCCCUUUCUCAAGUUCUUCAUCAUCUCUGAAAGUUUGAAUUCCAGAUGCAGUCAAUGUGGUAUAUAGAUGAUCAGUGAAAUUUCUGCGAGUAUCGCCACCUCUAAAACUCAAGAACACAUCAUAAUUACGAGAAAUAGAAGUAGUCGAAGAAGAGGCUCUAUGGGUGCUGGAAGAAGCCAUUUUUGGAUGGCUUGAACCAAAAUUACAAGGGAGUUUGGAGGGUCCUUGGAUGCUCAAUGACUAUUGGCUCCAGACCUCUUCACCAUGAACAAAAAUCCAAGCUGGGAGGGAGGUUCAGCUGAAAAGCUUCAUCUGCAGUCGUAAAAGAAAAGAAAAACGUAUAUAAAGCCCUCUUUGAGAAAUUUCUUUGUAUAUAAAUUCUAAGAGAAACUCACACAUAUUUUACCUUUUGGUUGGGGAAGAUCCUUUCUCCAUUCCCUUUGUGUUGGAGACUGCAUUAAGGGAUGCAGAGAAGAUGGUGGGGAAGGUGUUGAAGAAGAGGCGGUGGGUAGCAGAGGUCUCGUUGACUGGGUGGAUGGAAUCGAGGUAAGGAAUUCUAAUAUUUUGAAAUGAAAUUUCAUGGAAGGUGUUGUUUUCAGUUUUUGUUUCCACAAAUAUUUGUGCGCGGCACCUAUGAUGAUNNNNNNNNNNNNNNNNNNNNNNNNNNNNNNNNNNNNNNNNNNNNNNNNNNNNNNNNNNNNNNNNNNNNNNNNNNNNNNNNNNNNNNNNNNNNNNNNNNNNCCCUUUGGUUUCGUACAUCAGAUGGAUCCACAUGGUAGAAGAUUGGUAGAACCACUGAUUCCUUUUGGCUCUUGCGUUCAAUGAUCUUUACGAGUUCAUUUAAACACCAUCUGGAGUAAGCAUAAUUUUUUGAGAAAACAAUAAUAAAAAACCUCGAUUCUUCUAUAGCUCUCAAGAGAUCAGAUGCAAUAUCUCCUCCUUUCUCAAGUUCUUCAUCAUCUCUGAAAGUUUGAAUUCCAGAUGCAGUCAAUGUGGUAUAUAGAUGAUCAGUGAAAUUUCUGCGAGUAUCGCCACCUCUAAAACUCAAGAACACAUCAUAAUUACGAGAAAUAGAAGUAGUCGAAGAAGAGGCUCUAUGGGUGCUGGAAGAAGCCAUUUUUGGAUGGCUUGAACCAAAAUUACAAGGGAGUUUGGAGGGUCCUUGGAUGCUCAAUGACUAUUGGCUCCAGACCUCUUCACCAUGAACAAAAAUCCAAGCUGGGAGGGAGGUUCAGCUGAAAAGCUUCAUCUGCAGUCGUAAAAGAAAAGAAAAACGUAUAUAAAGCCCUCUUUGAGAAAUUUCUUUGUAUAUAAAUUCUAAGAGAAACUCACACAUAUUUUACCUUUUGGUUGGGGAAGAUCCUUUCUCCAUUCCCUUCGUGUUGGAGACUGCAGUUAAGGGAUGUAGAGAAGAUGGUGGGGAAGAUGGUGUGGAGGAUAGGCAGGGGUUGAAGGAGAGGCGGUGGGCAGCAGAGGUCUCGUUCACUAGUGGAUGGAAUCGAGGUAAGGAAUUCUAAUAUUUUGAAAUGAAAUUUCAUGGAAGGUGUUGUUUAUAGUUUUUGUUUCCGUCGUAUUUGUGCGGCACCUAAACGACAAAAUUAUGAUGAUGGGAAUCCCUAACUAAGACUAAAAGUGAUGCUUUUCUUUUUUCCUUUUUUUCUUCAAUUUAAGUAUUUUGAUAAUAUUAGUUUUUAUAGAUAUUGAUGGGAAAAUUCUAAGAAAUUUAUUAGAUUCUAGUACGAAAUCCACGUCAAAGUAGGAUGCUAACUAAAAGUCAAUAGAGCUCUGUGACCUUUCACAUUAGAAAAUAGUUGGAUUCAUGUAGAAGAUGCAAACUUUCCCUCCACACCCAAUGUAAUAUUCCAUUUUUUUUUUCUAAUUUUAUUUUUCCCUCUAGUUCCAAUAUUUGUACAACUUCAUCCUUAUUUAGUUUAUUUCCUUUUCUAUCUAAUAUUUAUUUUGAUAUUUUACAACUUGAAUUUACAGAAUAUCUUUUGUUCGAUAAUUUUUUGUUUUAAUUUUUAUGAAAAAUAUUGGUUUUUAUAGAUAUUUCGGUAAACCACAAUUAUAAUUUUCUUAAGAAUUUUAAAAAUUAUAAUAAUGAUUUUUAUACUUUUAUUAAUUAAUUAAAAAUUUUAAAAUAAAAUAAUUAGAAUUGGUUGAUUUACUUUUUUAAUAAUAAACUUUAAGAUAUUUAUUGUGAAUAUAUAUUAAAUAACAUAAAUUUAGCCCAAGGGUAGCUGGGCUCAUAUCCAAGCCUUUUGCUUGGGUUCGAAUCCCUUAGGCACAGGUGUUGGUAGAAAAAUUUCCUCCAUUUCGGGGAAAAACUCACCUUUUGGUGUGGAAUACUUUCAUCUAUGUAUUUAUGAUAUUGUUCUACAAAAUUUUCCGAAAAAGUUUUUUGUUUCUUGUUUUCCUUACUUUUCCAACUAUUUAAUUCUUUUUAAAUACACCGAUGAGUCACUUCAAGGCAACAAUAAUCCAUGUAAUUAUUUUUAUUUUUUGUUUUUAUAAUAUGUGUAUGGCUUAGAGAUGGCAAGCAUGAUAAUGAGAAAUCUCGAGUUAAAUUUAAACCAUGUUUUUUUUAGUAAUUGAUUAUCUACCUUGCCUUUCAUUUUGAUGUUUUACUUCUAACAUAUAUGACAUUUUAGUUUGGUGUUCUCCUUGGACUUUAAUUAUGGAGCUAAUUCUUAUAAUUAUUGGUAGGAAAUUUCUUAUGACCAUCAAGAAAUUUAAUUAAUCUUGCUAUAGAAAUUGAUAUGAAAGUAGGCUAUUAACAAAAGGUCAAUAGACCUCAAUGUUCUUUUACAUUGAAAGAUAGUGAAAUUUACAUGGAAAAAAUAACUAAUGCUAUAAAAGUUUGUAUGAAAACAAUGUUAUUUACAAAAGGUCAAUAGACGUCAAUGUCCCUUCACAUUGAAAGAUAGUGAAAUUUACAUUGAAAAAAGCAACCAAGCCUUGCAUGCGAAGUUUCAUUUUUGCAUUUUUUUUUUCCUUUUUCUUUUUAUGUUUUCCCAUUGGGCAUUAUCUAUCUAUCUAUCUAUAUACAUAUAUACACCUCAUUUCUACAACUUUUUUUGCUCAACUUUCUUUUUCUUUUGUUAUUUGUAUUUAGUAACAAUGGGUUCAUUUGACAUUCAUUCCAAAGCCUCCUUUUUUUGUCCUAAAAUUAUUCAAAUGAUGAUAUCAUAUAAGGAAUUUCUUAAAUAGAUGCUUGUAAAAAUUAUAUCAAUUUAUAAUACUUUUAUUCUAAAAAAAUAUCAUCUCCUUUUCUUUAAUAUUUACCCUUUAAUCAUUGUUGCAAAAUGAUAAAAUUAAAGUAAGUGAAAUUAUGCUUUAUUUGAUAUUGAAGUGUAGGUAAGAAAAUAAAUGGAUAAAAGUGUAACAUAGAACUUUUCUUCUUUUUCCUUUUCCCAUUUGAAAGGUGUUUGUAGUUGAAGUAAAAAAAUAUCAAGUGGCAUAACAAAAAUAUAGGAUUCACGAAAAGAGUCGAAUUAAAGGUCUUUGAUGACUAUCUUUUGCAUUUUCUUUUUUUCUUUUUUCCUUUCAAUAUUCAAUAACCACUCUUCUCUUUUAGUAGUUGUCUUGAACUUUGAUGACAAUUGCACAAAGGCUUUUACGAAAUUUGCUUGAAGGCAUACUACCAUCCAAGGAAAAUUGCAUGAAAAUAUUUCAUAUCAUUUCUUGAAAUUUAAAUCUUGGUAAGAAAUUGGUUUAAAGGUAAGCUACUACCAAAGUUUAGAAGAUAGAAUGUCUUUCACACGAUUUCUCAUGUUUGGGUAACAUGAAAAAAAUAACGUUUUUUUUUUUCAUUUUUCUUUUCUUUUUCUCCUUUUUGGCAUUCAUUGGUGACUAGAUAUACACAUAUAGUAUAAUUUUUAUAAGUAUUCCCUUUAAUGUUUUUUUCCAAAAUAAUAUUUGAGGAACCUUGAUUAUACCCUUUUAUUAUAUUUUUUUUCAGAAAAAAGAAAAAAUCUUUUAUGCAUGUUGUUCAUAUCAUAUAUGAUAAUUUAAUUAAAUUUUAGUUACAACUUUGAGUCACUCAAAGCCCACAAAAUCCAUUUAAUAAUUUUUUGUUUAAAUAUUUAUAUAGCCAGAGGUGCCAAAUAUAACUAUAAGAGAUCAAUGGAUAUGAAUAUAAAAAUGACUAAAACUAUACAAUAGUUUUCCUUUUUAUAUAUUUACUUUCUAAUUUUGUAGCUAUUUUGCACUUUCAUAAAAACUUUUAUAAACUUUGUGUGAAAUUUGCAUGAAGAUAGUUCAUAUACUUGUAUGUAUGUAUCUAUAUACAUAUCAAAUCACUUAAUGAUAGUUGGCUUCACAUGGAAAAAGCAAAUAUUGCCUCUUCACUUAAUUAUUAUAGUAAUGUGAUAUUUCAUCUUGCAAUUUUUAUUUUCAUCCCUUGGCAUUAAAUACUAUGCUAUUAUUUAUAAUACUUCUAUUUUUUCUUAAACUACUUUUUUUUAUUUGAAUUUAGUAAUAGUGGGUUCUCUUAACAUUCAUUUCAAAGCCUUCUUAUUUGUUCUCAAAUUAUUCAAAAGAUGAUAUCAUAUAUUGAAUUUAUGAAAUAGAUGCUUCCAAAAGUUAUGUCAAAUGAUAGUAUUUUUCAAAGAAAAAAAUAUUUUCCCUUUUUCUUUAAUAUUUAUCCUUUUGUCAUUGCUACAAAAUAAGUGCAAUUAUACUUCAUUUGAUGAUUAAUAAAGAAAAAAUGUUAUUUUUUCUUGAUUAAAUAUUUAUCCUUUAAUUAUUUUUGCAAAGUUAAAUUAGAGUUUUCAUGAAUGCCUUUUCUACUACAAUUAUGAAAUUUAAAAUUUCUCAGUACAUUGAAAUCUCUCAAAGAAAUUGAGAAACCAAUCUUUUAACUAACUCCUUGAAGAACUUAUCAUAAAUAACGUAGUGGAAAAGAUAAGUAUCAUGGUUGAAAUUCAAAAUAAUAUUUGCAACUUAAAGAUUUCUUUGAGCAUUAAAGUUUAGUGCUAUAUUAUAAUAGCAACUAAAAAGACAUUUUUUGCUCAUUUUUCCCAUUUAUUCUUUUGAAAGUAUGAAAAGAAAACUACAAGUUAUAUAAUAAAAGGGAGGAAAAAUCUUUAAUCUUAAUAAGUGAGAAGAAAGAACAAAGUUUCUAUAAGAUUUUCAUGAAAUUUAUGUGAAAAAAGGUAAUGCAUAAAAGUAAAUAAAAUUUGAAAUUCUUUGCAUACUUUAAAUUUAUAUAAUUGGAUCGGUUGACAAUGUUGUCCUUGUCCUACAUCAAUAUAUGAUAGUAAAAGCACAACCUCCUUAAUAUACUUGUUGUAACCACCCACAACCAAUCGUGUAAAUAUUAUUCACUCUAGGUCCAAAUGUGUCCUUACGAUUUUAAAAUGCAUCUAUAUGGUUUGAUGUGAGUUGUUACAAAUUGUAUCAAAACUACUAGGGUAGUUUGUUUGUUCCUUAGGAGGUGUUUGUUUGUUUGACCCCGUAAUUCUAUGAGAUACAACAAAGACGUUGUAUUUGCAUGAGAGUGUUUGUAAUAUCUCACAUCGGAUAGAGGAGAAAACUAUUAAGGCUAUGUACGUAAAUGCGUUUGUUUUAACUUUAUAGACACCUUUUAAAGUAGUAAGGGCCCAUUUGGACCAAGAGUAGACUAUAUCUACAUGGUUAGGUGCAGAUCGUUACACUUGUAAUUUCAUUGAUUUAAUUCAUUUUUUUUACUUUUUUAUUUUAAAUUUUAAAUUUUUUUUUUUUUUUUUUUGUUGCUUUGAUAUCCCUCAUCACCACUUUGCUUUUGCACUUAAGGAGCAUCAUUUUUCAAUAUUUUUUCUUUUUUAAUUAAUUUUGUUAUUAUUGUUUGGAUUUUCACUCAAAUAUUUAUAAGAAUAAUAGAAAGAUAUUCUUUUAUGUAUAAUUAGUUUUAUAAACUAUGACUAAACUCAAGUAGUUAUCUAUCAAAUAGUAAGACUAUAUUUCUUAUCAUCUAAAUCAAAUUUUGAAGUUACCCAAUUAGAAACAUUUCUAAAAAAGAGGAAUAUCAACAACCUUUUUAUUUAUUUAUUUUGAACGAGGAAUGUUAAUAUUUUGUCAUCAUUUUAUAAAUAUAAGUAAGAUUUAAAAAAAAUAGCAAAAAAUAAAAAUAAAUAAGGCAUAAAAAUUAGAAAAUUGGAUGGAUGAAAGUAUAGCAUACAACUUUUUUUUUUCAUUUGAAAGGUAUUUGUAGUUAAAGUAAAAAAAAAUAUCAAGUGCUAUUACAAAAACAUAGGAUUUUCAAAAAGAACUUAAAAUAUAUCCAUUAUGUAAAUUGUCUACAUAUAGUCAAAUAAUAAUAUUAUGGGUUUUUUUAUUAUACUUAUGAACAUAAAUUUUAAAUUACACAAACACCAAAAAGAAUUGAAAGCAAGAAAAUUAAGUGUACAAAACGUAUUAAAUUAUUUAGUAAGAUAAAACAGACUAUCAAUAACAUAUAUUAGAAUAAUAUGAAUAAGCAACCUAUUUCUACAAGAGAAAAUUUUGAAGUUUUUAGGAAUAUUAAAAGUAUAUAAUAACAUAUUAAAGAUUCAUUCCAAAUUUUUUCCAUGAAAUAAUUUCAAGUCAUGGGAAAUUCAUAAUCAAUUUAGAAUAAUUUUAUAUGAAAUUUUAAUAUUUUAAAUUAAAUAAUGUUUUUCUAUAUCUUUGUAACCAGCAAUGACUUGAAGUCAGUGACACUUCCCCCCUCUCUCUAAAAUACUUCUUUCUUGUCUCUCUUUGAAAGGUUUGAACUUGUGAAAGGAUUCCAUAUCAUUUUUCAAGGUAGGAAAAAAUUUUCUAUCUUUAUUUUUCUCUCUUUGAAUGAUUUACUGCCAUGUUAAUGAAAAUUGGAAACUUACAAAAAUAUUAAGAAAAAACUUCAAAAUAUGAUAAAAUAAAAAUACUUUGAAAAAUAUAAUACAUAUAAUAUUUUUGUGAUAUUUUGUGAUAUUUUGUGAUAAUAUAUAGAAUUUAAAAACAUAUUAUUAUUAAAAUUAUAAUAUAUUUAGUUUGAUUAUAUAAAAUAAGUGAUACUAUAUAUAUGUAUAAAUAUUUUUAUUUAAAAAUAUUGAUAAUGUUAUUUUUUUAUUUAAUUAUUAUACAAAAGAUACUAAUAUAAUUAAAAUUGAUUUUUAAUUUAUAAUAUAUUUAUCUAUAUAUUUGUAUUAUAUAUAGUUUAGACGUGUAAUAUAACCAAAGUAGUAGCUUGGGUCUAAUUAACGGUCGCACCAUUCACCCGUAAGCAUUGGGUCAUGGGUUCGAUUCCACAACCAAUCUUGUUGCUUCUAGUGGUUUUCUUAAGCUUUGAUGACAAUCUCCCAAAGCCUUAUUAGAAAUUUGCUUGCAAAAAAGCUACCAUCCGAAGUUUAAUGGUCCAAAGUUCAAUGAAUUACCAGGAAAAUUUACAUGAAUUUCACAUCAUUUCUUAAAAUUUAGUCUUGCUAAGAAAUUGGUUUGAAGGCAUGCUACUACCAAAGUUUAAUAAACCAAGGAAAAUGGAAGACAUUUCACACUAUUUCUCGAAAUUGGGAUCCUAGUAGAAAAUUUCUUUCAAGAUAGGCCAAAAACAAAAUUGAAUAAACCAAGGAAAUUAGCAUGAUGACAUUUCACACUAUUUAGUUACAUGAUUGUUGGGUAUUACCUAAAAUUCAAAAGACCAAAGAAAAUUUCCUCUCUAUAGUUGGCUUUAUGUAGAAAAAGCAAUCCUUGUCUCAUUUUUUAUAUUGAUAUAAUGUUUAUUUGUUGUUGUCAUGCAUUCAAUAAUAUAUACUACAACUACGUACUACCAUUUUUCCCAUCUAUCAUUGGCUUAAGUUAAAUCUCAUUCUUAAACAAUUGAUAAUAUAUACAACUACUAAUAGUAUACUACUAUUACUACUACUAUACUAUUUCUACUAGUAGUAGUAUACAUUCUAAUUCUUUAUAGUAAUGUAAUAUUUACUACUACUACUAACUACACAUUCUAAUUCUUUAUACUACUACUACUAAGUAUGCUACAAUAAUUACUAUUAGUAGUAUAAUACUAUUACUACUACUCCUACUAUUAGUAUACUACUAUUACUACUAUUAGUAGUAUAUUACUAUGCCUACUACUAGUACACAUUCUAAUUCUUAAUAAUAGUGUAAUAUUUAUUCUAAUUCUUUAUAGUAAUGUAAUAUUUAUUUAUUUUUAUCAUGCAUUCAAUAAUAUAUACUCAAUAAUAUAUACUACUUCAUUACUACUACUACUACUACUACUACUACUACUACUACUACUACUACUUCAUUUGACAUUUAUUUCAAAGCCUCCUCAUGCAUCCUCAAAUUAUUCCAAAAAAAAAAACAUAAAUAAUUUUUUAGAAAAUUAAUGCUUAUAAAAAUUAUAUGAAAAUAAUCGUUAUUUUAAAAGAAAUCUCACCCCAUUUUCUUUAAUAUUUGAUGACGAAUAUAAUAUAAUUAAAAAGAGUACUCUAUUGUACAAAUCAUGUAACUUCUAAAGUAUCUCUAUUUAGGGCUUGUUUGAAACCAUAGAAUAAAGCAUGGGAAUGAGUUAAUGUGUUUGGAUUAUUUUUGGAAUAAGAAUAGGGAUACAAAUUCAUUGUUAUGGAAACCAAAUUCCAUUAUCACUAGGAUUUUUAUUCCUUUAUCUUAUCUUACAUUGGAUUAGGAUUCACCCUAUCCUCAUUCUAUUUCCAUUCCUAAUUUCAUGUACCAAACGAAACCUUAGACCAUGUUUGGUAUGUAGGAAUUGAGAUGAGAAUAAACAUUUUGUUUCCAUUCUUAAUUGAUCUUGAAUAAAAUUAAAUUUGGUAAUUCCAAUUCUUAUAUUUGGAUGCACUUAUAAAUGGAAUGUUGGAAUGAUCAUUUGUUUUCAUUUUAAUGUUUGAUAACAAUAGGUAUGAAAUUAAUUUUCUCAUUAGAAGAACAAAAACCUUAGAAUAUAAUGAAAAGUUUAAUAAAGUUGAAAGGAGGAAAUCAAUAAAGAAAUGAUAUUUUUAACUUUCUUAAGUUUAAUUUGUACACUUUUUUUAUAUUAAAUUCAAUUUUUAAAUUUGUAAUUAUUUAACCAAAUCCAAAACAACAUACUUAGCUUCAAUUUAUGUUUCCAACUUGUAUAUGUUAAUAUAUAUAUAAGACUUAGUGGUAGUAAAGUAGUUUUGAACCAAUAACCUGUAGAGCAAAUUUGUCUACUUAAACUAGUACUUUGACAAUCUCAUCCUUUGAAAAUUUUGGAACAAUACAAAAUAUUGCAAUACAACCCUCUAAAACUCUGAAAUUAAGAUCCUAAAGUUGCUCGACCUAAUCCUUACCAAAGAUCACUCACUAUAAAUAACACCUUCUUAUCUUUCUUUUUUUGCAUAAAUAUGUCACCUCAAAACACCUCCUCUUGAAUUUGAUUGCUUGUUCUUAAUUUGACAUUCUCUUUCCCUUUUAGAUUUAAAAAAAACAAACAAACAAACAAAUGGAGUAGCAAAUUAAAAAAGGGUGUGAAUUCAACUUGAUAAGAGUUUAAUCAAAAUUGGAAAUUUGCUUGUAAUAUCUAACUUGCCUAAAUGAAUAAGGAUGUAUGGGUUGAUCAAUUGAGCUUUAGGCCCUUGAAUAAUCAUCUCAACUUUCACUUUCAAUUGCUUGAGAUAUUUCAUUUGGAUAUCAAUCAAACCCAAGGUUGAGACAUUAAAUUGUACGUGUGUUAGUUUUUAUGAUAAACUAGUUUCACAAAAUGGUUGAUGCUUCAAAAGUAAUAACUUAGUUAACAAAUACAAUGCCAUAAUUUUAUAUUUUUGCUCAUUUGACGUGUGUGGGAACAAAAACUAACAUGGAUCUUAAAGUAUUCCAAAACAAAAUACUUGGAAUUGAAAUAUUCUUUCCCACCUAAUAUUCAGGGUGGUGCCAUCACAGCUUCUCUCCACAUCAGUAUUAGUAUCUUCUACUGCUGAACUGGUGUCACAGCUUACUUCUACGUUGUACAAUUGUGAGAUUGUUCUGUUCAUAAUCAUGGGCAUAUAGAAAGUGGAAGCCACACCUUGCCGCUUUCACUGGUUUAAUACCAAAGUAGGCAUUAAAUGAAGCGUUCAAGGUUCUCCAUUCAUUUGAGUGAUAUCUCUUGGGAAAACGGGACUUAGGAUAAUAUAUCAAGCACCCUUGACUUGAUAUAUUAUGUAUCAAGUCAUAGCAGAAUUCACAAAAUUGAAUAGACUCAUAGGAAAAAUAUGCACUGUUACCAUCGAAAUUCAAUUUACAGUUGAAACGCUUAUAUCUUUUGGUCUUAAUCUCAAGUGGAACACAAAGAGAGCACAGAACAAAGCCCAAGAAGUCAUCAUUUUCAUACCAACUCCAAGGAAGUUUCAUUGUUAUUUUCAACCCGCUUUUCUGAUGGCUUAUCCACUCCGGAAUACUUUCAGCAAUAAAAGCUGUGACAAGUCCAAAUUCACGCCCCUGCACAAAAAUUACCCUCUGAAUUUUGUCUCCAUGAAAAGAAAGGUUAAAUGAUAUAUGAAAACCAUACCUGAAUUUGGGAUUUAAAACAUUUGAAUAAAGAAGACCAGAGUAGAUUUGAUUGACUGGAUAAAUUUUCCAGGGAUGUGCAGUGAUGGACAUCUAGAUACCUUAAACCUGAUGGAAGUUCUGGAAUAUGUUGAAGCAUCUUGCAGUGACUCAAGACAAGAAGUUUUAGGUUGUAAAGUUGACUGAUCCCAUCAGGUAUGCGACUAAAGUGGUUCCCCCCCAGAUAUAAUGAUACCAGUGAUGAUAGGUAAUAAAUUUCACUGGGAAAUUCCCUUAGAUUGCAGCCUUGAAUCUCUAAUGUCCUCAAGGAGCAUAAACCGGACAAAGACGGCAAUGGAAAAUUCAUUGAAUCUAAAUGCCCAACACUAAGAUGAAGUAAAGAUUGUAGUCUCCCCAAGUUGUCUGGCAAUUUCUUGAAGUUUGGACAGCUUUCGACAAUGAGAACUUUAAAAGAUGUCAAAUUACAAAUACUCUCGGGAAGAUUCACGAGGUUUUUGCAGUUUGACAGAACCAAACAUUGAAGCCCUCUUAGACGUUGAAUUGAUGAUGGUAUCUCUUUCAUGGCGGUUCCAUCUAAAUAAAGCUUUCUCAAGCUCUCCAUCUCUUGCAGGAUUUCUGGAAAGCUCUCUAGUUGUGAACAGCCAGAGCAGCGGAGAGUUGCAAGGGAUUUGAAACCAAAAAUUCUACUGGGCAGACUCGUAAGAUUUUUGCAAUUCCGCAGACAUAAUCUAUCAAGUUCUAAGGGAUUCUCGAUAAUGGGCACUUCAUUCAUGUCACUGCCCUCAAAACACCGCUUCCGUCGAAGCGCCCCAUCCCAUUGGCAUGCAAUGCAUAUUCUAACAUCUGCACCCUCUGUCUGUGUUGUUAAUGGAUGGCUUUGUUGAAGGUCUUGGGAGUAUAUAAGGCGGACUCCACACUCCUUCACUUUCACGGAAUUCUCAGAAUUAUUGUAAGAGUACUUAAAUGAAGUCCAAAUGUGAGUCCAUUGACAAGAGUGAAACCUUUCCGGAAUAGCCGCCUUGGAAUAGCAAACCACCCAUACACUCUCAUUAUCUUCGUCCUUGUCUUCUUUAUAGCAAAAACAAUUGGAUCGAAAGCAGGGAAGAUCUACAAUUCUUUCAGAUCCAAAUCUCUCAUCACUGAUACGCAGAGCACACUUCAGACGACAAGAAUGUGUAUGUUUAUGUUCAUUCUUACGAGAAGAUUCAGCCACAGAUUUAUCAUCUGUUUCAUUCUUCCAUGUAUGAGUAGAUUCAUCCUCAGAUUUAUUGUCUGAUUCAUUCUCGGGCCCAUGUGCAGAUUCCUUUUUGGGUAUGUCCUCAGAUUCAUCAGCAAGUGGAACAAAAACACAGCCUAUAGCGAAUCCCACAAACUCAUUAUUUUGGUGCCAAUUCUGAGGGAGCUCUGUUCUUGUAAGAGAUCUAUUUCCCCAAUUCAUUAUCCAUUCUGGAAUUCCAUCACUUCCGGGAAGAACAAUACAAGUUCCCUUGCCAUGGUAGGAAGAAUCACUAAAACUAGUGCGUUUCAAAUCCUGCACCAAAGCACCAUGUAAAUAUAGAGUUUGCAUAUAACUAGUGUUUGACAUGAAAAUGAUACCUGUGCCCAACUGAAGCAAUUGACCAGAGAAUGCAAUGGCAAAAACGGGGCUCUUGAUGAAGUGCGAUUUGAACCGUGUGCAUCUAAAAGCCGUAGACGUGAUGGAAGCUCUGGAAUUUGUUCAAGAUUGUUGCAGUGACUAAGGUUAAGGACUUCCAGCCUGGAAAGCUGAUUGAUGGUAGUAGGUAUGCUACUAAAAUGACCCCGUUCCAGAUUUAGUUUCUGUAAUGAUGAUAAAUGGCAAAUAUCACUAGAAAUUCCUCCUUCCAUUAUGUUGAAGUGACCUAGGUCCAAUACUUUCAAUGAUGAUAAGUGGCAAAUAUGAUUAGGGAUUUGGUGGAGCUUUAAACACUCUUGAAGUAGGAGAGUUUGAAGACCAUUUAGAUGUGUAAUUGAUGAUGGUAAGUCCAUUAUAGCUGUUCCACUCAAAUCAAGCACCCUUAGCUCUCUCAUAUCGCCUUUGAUUUCUGGAAAUCUCUCUAGCUUUGAACAGCCAUUGCAAGACAAAGUUUGAAGGUGUUUCCACUUGUAAAUGCCUCUUGGAAGAAGCUCCAGGUUUACACAUCCUGCAAGAUUCAAGGGAAAAAGAAAUAAAAAAAAAAAAGAACAAGUUAGUUUUAGUAAUUAUAAUACUGCUGCACCAAUCUUUUAAGUGCAUUGUACACCCUUCUAGAGUUAGAAUCUCCAAGUUUGGGACACUUGAGAAGUCUGGGAUUCUGAUGAGAUGGACAGAGUAACUGAGAUCAAUAACCCUCAACUUGUCAUGAAGCUGUAACAAAAUAAUUUUUUUCAAUAGAUAAAUUUAUAUAAAUGUUAAAAAUUAAUAUAAACUUAAACUGUAACUAAAUAAUAAUAACAAUACCUUAUUCCCUCUCCAAAGUUGCUUUAUAUUGCUGUUCCUUAGUAAGAGUUCAACAAGGUUCUUUGCAUGAAAAUUCAUUGGCAAAGAUUCUAAAGGGUAUCCAUCCCAAUGCAGAUAUGUUAACUCAUAAGAAGAGAAUUCAAAGUCCCUUGGAAGGUGGUCUUCAAGAAAUAACUUUCUGCGAGGGUUAUGGAUUUUGAGCAAUCUAAGUCUAUUCAUCUCUUUGAAAGAUUCUGUAGUAAGCUGUGAUGGAUUAAAUUUACAUCUAUCUAGGAAUAGUCCUUCAAUUGCUCUUGUCCCCUGAAAAAUAUAAGACGAGUAGGCAAAACAAAAGAUGCAUUAGACUUAAUUGAGUUAUACACACGGCUAAUUUCUGAAAAAAAAUAAUAAUAAUCAUAUUGAAGCUUGCAUACACACGUAUAUAAACAAGUUCAUGCAUUUGACUCUUACCGUAUUUCUUAUUAGCACAUGAUAGGCAUUCAAAUCCCACAAUCUACUCCUUCUUCCAGGGUCUUUAGGACAUUCUUGACGAAUAAUCUCUCAACCCAUUUGUUGUAUUAAAUCAUGCAUAUCUAGCCUGUUUUUUGAAACAGAUAUGAGACAUCUAUCAUCUAGAGUUGUUAUUGCGUGCUCUACAUGAGGGCCCAAUAUUCUUGAAACAAAAUCUUUGUUAUCUCCUUUGAAAAAGCAUGCAACAUCCAAAAACACCCCCUUGUCUAUAUCAUCGAGUCCAUCAAAACUUAUUCUAAGUACAUUGUGAAUUUCCAUGUGGGAUAUUAUUUUUAGCUUACACAGUGCACUUUCCCAAUUACUUAUUUUCUUUCCAAAAAGAGAAGCACCUAAAACUUUAAGUGCUAACGGAAGGCCAUUAGCAUAAUCUAUAAUAUUGUAUGAGAGGUUUUUAUAAACUUCUUUGGGACGAUUUUGUUUAAAGGCCCACAAACUAAAGAGCUCAAUAGCUUCUUCCUUGUUUAAUUUUGAAACCUCAUAUGGUAUAUCCACCCCAUAUUGAGCAAGCACGUGUUUGUCUCUAGAUGUAAUGAUGAUUGUACUUUUUACCUGAAACCAAUCCUUCUCUUCAGCCAAACAUUCUAGUUGUUUCAACUCAUCCACAUCAUCAAAAAUAACAAGAACUCUAUUGGAGCUUAGACACCUCUUUAUCAUACUAAUUCCUUCGUCAACAUUGUUUAUUUUAAAUUUUUUUCCCCGUAGCAUACCAUGAAGAAGUUCCUGCUGUAAUUGAAGUAUAUCGCAUUUGGAUCUCUCUCUGAUAUUUAUAAGAAAGCUACUACCAUCAUAUUGAUGUGAGAUCUCAUUAUAAAUAGCCUUGGCGAUAGUAGUCUUGCCAACCCCACCAAUUCCAUAUAUCCCUACGACGCUAACCAUAUUUAACUCAGUGUUCAUCAACGAUUUCAAUUUUUCCAAAUGAACACCAAUUCCAACUAUGUUGUUUCCCACACUUAAAGGUUGAUGGUUUACUCUUCUAAUGAUUGUAUCAACAAUUUUGUUGACAACCACAAUCUCAUACCUGCCAAUCAUAUAAAUGAAGUACAAUGUUGAGUUAGAAUGAGUUGCAAAAUAUAAUGAAUUUAGUCGUGUAUGGUGGUGUCCAAUAUUAUUGAAUUAGUAGCAAUGGAAUGAAAAAGAAAGGGGUCAAACCAAUUUACUUACAUAUUUAAUACUCUUACUGUGCCAAGUUGCAAAUUUUCAAUACUCUUACCGUUAGAGCAUUGUGUAGGACUCCUCUAUGAACAAGCUAAUGCCUUCUUUCAACUUUUAUUUCACAAACAACUUGUUUAUGAUUCCUCAAUUUCACUUGUCUUUAGGUUUUAUUAACUUACCAAUACUUACCAAAGUUACAAAGACUCCAUUUUUAGCAUGCCAAUUAAUUUUGCAUUUCCAUAGAGGAAUCAGGAAACAAGUGAAUGUGGAAAAUUUCAUGAUUUGCUUGUUGAUUGGGAACUUAAAUAUGAUUUUAUUUAGAGAAAAUUUAAAAAGGGUUAAAUUUUGAUACUUGUAUUUUUGGACCAACACAAGGGAAAAAUGAAAGUUAGAUUUUGUUAACAAUUUCAUAUUCAUGAGACCUUCAUUAUGAGAAUAAACUUACAAGUAAAAUCAUUCUAAAAGAGCACGAUAGGAAUGUUAAAGGGCAGAGUUUAAGGUAAAUUAAUCCAAAUGAACUCGAAAGGUCAAAGGGACAAAAUAGUUACCCCCUUUGACAUAAUAAAAAUCCAUCAUGAAGAUUACAAAACAAGCUUGGCAUCGAUAUUGUUGCAGUGAGUGAGCACUUAAUUAGUGCAUGGGAAUUAAGACUUGUUGAAGAAUAUAUACGCAAAAAACAAGCAAAAAUGUAAAUUGAAACUCAGGAAACAGAGGGAGAUGCAUGAGAAUCUUUGUAGUAAGUGAGAAUGGAAUUCAUAGGCAUUAUGCAAUUACCAGUGCCUCAUAGCAAAAUAAGAUAUUGAUUAAAAGGGUUUUAAAAACUAAUAUUUGAUUGCACAUAAAAUUUCAAUGUAUUGAAAAUUGCACAUAAAAUCUCUAAAGAAAUAUUCGAUUUAAAGAAAUAUCAAAUAACUUCAAUGCAUUUAAAAUUACAUAUAUAAUCUCCUUUUGAUAUUUUUCUACUCUUGAAGUACUUUUUAUCCAAAAAGUAUUUUAUCGAUUUGAGAUGGAGAUUGAAUAAUUGUUGACAGGCAUUUUUAUCCCUAAAGAAGUCAUAUUUAAUAUUUUUACAAAAUGAAAAUCGUUCUUCCAAAUUUGCAUUUUCAAUAUCCCAUUUAAACAGAUAAACGAGAGGUGAAGAGAAGCAUACUUACUGGUCAUCCACAUGGCAUCCACAUAGAUUAGCUGCUUUUCUCAAGGCAAUCCUCCACUUUUGUAUCAUCUCCUUUUCUUGAUUUGCAUCUCUUUCAUGGUAGGCAAGUGCGUCUCCGAAGCUUCCCCUUUGGUUUCGUACAUCAGAUGAAUCCACAUGGUAGAAAAUUGGUAGAACCAAUGAUUCCUUUUGGCUUUUGCGUUCAAUGAUCUUUACGAGUUCAUUUAAACACCAUCUGGAGUAAGCAUAAUUUUUUGAGAAAAUAAUAAUAAAAAUCCUCGAUUCUUCUAUAGCUCUGAAGAGAUCAGAUGCAAUAUCUCCUCCUUUCUCAAGUUCUUCAUCAUCUCUGAAAGUUUGAAUUCCAUAUGCAGUCAAAAUGGUAUACAGAUGAUCAGUGAAAUUUUUGCGAGUGUCACCACCUUUAAAACUCAAGAACACAUCAUAAUUACGAGAAAUAGUAGAAGAAGAAGAGGCUCUAUGGGUGCUGGAAGAAGCCAUUUUUGGAUGCCUUGAACCAAAAUUACAAGGGAGUUUGGAAUCAAAGAAAAAUAAGAGAGAGGGUCCCUGGAUUCUCAAUGACUAUUGGCUCCAGACCUCUUCACCAUGAACAAAAAUCUAAGCUGGGAGGGAGGUUCAGCUGAAAAGUUUCAUCUGCAGUCAUAAAAGAAAAAAAUAACAUAUAUAAAGCCUCUUUGACAAAUUUCUUUGUAUAUAAAUUCUAAGAGAAACUCACACAUAUAUUUUACCUUUUGGGAGUUCGCUUUGUGUUGGAGACUGCAGUUAAGGGGUGCAGAGAUGAUGGUGGGGAAGAUGGUUUGGGGGAUAGGCCGGGGUUGAAGAAGAGGCUGUGGAUAUUUUGAAGUGAGGUAAGGAAUUCUAAUAUUUUGAAGUGAAUUUCAUGAAAGGUAUUGUUUUUAGUUUUUGUUUCCAUAAUCUUUCUGGUAGGAAAUCCACGUCAAAGUAGGCUACUAACUAAAAGUUAAUAGAGCUCUAUCACCUUUCACAUUAAAAAAUAGUUGGAUAGGCAAACCUUCCGUCCUCACCUAAUGUAAUAUUUCAUUGUUUUAUUUUAUUUUAUUUAUCUCUCUUGUUCCAAUAUUUGCACAACUUCAUCCCUCUUUAGUUUAAUUCCUUUUCUUUGUAAUAUUUAUUUUGAUUUUUUACAACUUGCAUUUAUCCUUCUUUUCAAUAAUUUUCUCCUCAACUUUUAAAAUUAUUAUUUGGUUUUUCUCUUAAGAGUUAACACUACUGCCAUAUAUUGUUUUUCCUUCUUUUGCCAUUAGAGAAAAUAUUUUUGUUUCUUGUUUUCCUUUCUUUUCCAACCAUUUAAUUCUUAUUAAACACACCUUUGAGUCACUUCAAGGCAACUACAAUUCAAGUAAAUAUUUUUAUUUUUUGUUUUUAUAAUAUGUGUGUGGCCUAGAGAUGAUAGGUAUGAUAACGAGAAAUCUUGAGUUAAAACUAAACAAUGCUUCUUUUUUUUUCUUAAUUGAUUAUUUACUUCAUCUUUCAUUUUCAUGUUUUACUUCAAAUAUAUUUUACACUUUAGUUUGGUGUUUCUCUUGGACUUUGAUUAUGGAGUCAUUUCUUAUAAUUAUUGGUAGGAAAUUUCCUAUGGCCUUCCAAGAAAUUAAAAUUUUGCUACAAAAAUUUAUAUGAAAGUAGGCUAUUUACAAAAGGUCAAUAGACCUUGAUGUCCUUUCACAUUGAAAGAUAGUGAGAUUCACAUCCAAAAAGGCAACCAUUGCAUGCAAUGUUUCAUUUUCUCUUUUUUUCCCCUUGGGCAUUAUAUAUAUACACGGAAAAAGCAAUGUAAACUUUACGUGGAAAAGGAAAAUGUCGCCUCCUAAUUAACUUGAUUACUUAUUAUGGUCAUGUGAUAUUUCAUCUUUUUAUUUAUCUCUCUUGUUCCAAUAUUUGUACAACUUCAUCCUUCUUUAGUUUAGUUCCUUUUCUUUGUAAUAUGUAUUUUGAUAUUUUUACAACUUGAAUUUAUAGAAUGUCUUUUUUCAAAUUUUUUUGUUUUAAUUUUUAUGAAAAAUAUUGGUUUUUACUACAUAUGAUAAAUCCGUUUUGUGGAUAUAUUGAGAUAUGUAAAAAAAUAUUGGUGGAUAUUUUAAAACAAAAUAUGGAUGAGAUAAAAAUUGUUCAAAAUUCAUGGAAAUAUUUAGAACAAUUAUAAGAAAUGGAUAUAAAAAGUAAUAAUAAAUAUUUUUAUGUUGUUUUGUUAAAGAAAUUGAUAUAUGUAUGAUAUAAUUUAUAACAUUCAAUAAUAAUAUUUAGAAUUUUAAAGUAAAUUUUAUAUAAAUGUAUCUAAUUUGUAUGUAUUUAAUGACAUAAAAGAAAUGAUAAAAAUAUUAGUAUUUUUUAUUUUAAAAUAUUGAUAAUUUUAUUUGUAAAUAUAAAAAACCAUAUAUUAAUUUAUGCACAUGUAAUAUAAUUUAUAAUGUGAUCUAUAUAUAAAAGACAAUCUUAAUGUAAUAUACAUAAAUAAAUAAAUAUUGUAUAUGUAUAAGAUAUACGUAACACUAUAAUAUUAACAAAGUUAGCUUGGUAGUUGGUGGCGUGUUGCUCUUACUCUAUGGCUGAGGUCAUGGGUUCUCACACCCAUCCUUCCACAAUGAUUUAAUUCUUUUUUAAAGGUAAGAGGUCGAAUCCCACAUCGGCCAGCCACAGCACUUAAAAACCUGCUCAUAGACCUUUGGCAGAUACCAAACUUCGAAUGCGCAUGACCGGCUAGGCCGACGUGGACGCAAAAUUUUUCAAAAAGCUUGAUUUAUCUCCGAGCCGAGAUAUUGCCGAGACAUCCACCAACUGCAUCAUGUUGGAUGUUACCGACAGACGAAAUAUUUCCCGCUACUUUCAUCUUGAUCAUACCCAAUUAAUUAAUGUGAAUAAACGUUGCUAGGGUGUUUUUUUGUUUGCAAAUAUUUGUUUGUAUGCUUAUGCAUAUAAUACUCUUCCAAUCUUCAAUAUAUAUAUAGAAUAUUCUUCUAUAUAAAUUUUUUGAGAAAAGUGUUUUGUUCCUUGCUUUUCCAACUAUUUAAUGCUUUUUAAAAACACCUUGAGUCACUUCAAGGCAACAACAAUCCAGGUAAUUAUUUUUAUUUUUUGUUUUUAUAAUAUGCGUAUGGCUUAGAGAUGGUAGACAUGAUAAUGAGAAAUCUUGAAUUAAAAUUAAACCAUGCUUUUUUUAGUAAUUGAUUAUUUACUUUGUCUUUCAUUUUGAUGUUUUACUUCUAAUAUAUCUAACAUUUUAGUUUGGUAUUCCCCUUGGACUUUGAUUAUGGAGCUAAUUCUUAUAAUUAUUGGUAGGUAAUUUCUUAUAACCAUUAAGAAAUUUAAAUCUUGUUAUAGAAAUUGAUAUGAAAGUAGGUUAUGUAUAAAAGGUCAAUAGACUUCAAUGUUCUUUCACAUUGAAAGAUAGUGAAAUUUAAAUGGAAAAAAUAACUAAUGUUACAAAAAAUUGUAUGAAGACAAUGUUAUUUACAAAAAGUCAAUAGACCUCAAUGUCAUUUCAUAUUGAAAGAUAGUGAAAUUUACAUAUAAAAAAAAAUGCAACCAAGCCUUGCAUGCAAAGUUUCAUUUUCAUUUUUUUUUCUUUCUAUUUUUAUGUUUUCCCCUUGGGCAUUAUCUAUCUAUCUAUAUAAAUAUAUAUACACCUCAUUUCUACAACUUUUUUUGCUUAACUUUCUUUUUCUUUUGUUAUUUGUAUUUAGUAACAAUGGGUUCAUUUGACAUUCAUUCCAAAGCCUCCUUUUUUGUCCUCAAAUUAUUCAAAUGAUGAUAUCAUAUAAGGAAUUUCUUAAAUAGAUGCUUGUAAAAAUUAUAUCAAUUUCUAGUACUUUUAUUCUAAAAAAAUAUCAUCUCAUUUUCUUUAAUAUUUAUCCUUUAAUCAUUGUUGCAAAAUGAUAAAAUUAAAGUAAGUGCAAUUAUGCUUUACUUGAUAAUAAUAAGAAUUUCAAAAUCUCUUCGCCUCAAGAUAUUGAAGUCUAAGUAAGAAAAUAGAUGGAUAAAAGUGUGACAUAAAACUUUUCUUCUUUUUCCUUUUCCCAUUUGAAAGGUAUUUGUAGUUGAAGUAAAAAAAAUAUCAAGUGACAUAACAAAAAUAUAGGAUUUGCAAAAAGAGUCAAAGGUCUUUGAUGACUAUCUUCUGCAUUUUGUUUUUUGCUUUUUGCUUUCCUCCUUUCAACAUUCAACAACCACUCUUCUCUUUUAGUAGUUGUCUUGAACUUCGAUGGUAAUUGCGCAAAGCCUUCUAAGAAAUUUGCUUGAAGGCAUACUACCAUCCAAAGUUCAAUAAAUCAAAGAAAAUUGCUUGAAAAUAUUUUAUAUCAUUUCUUGAAAUUUAGAUCUUAGUAAGAAAUUGGUUUAAAGGUAAGAUGCCAUCAAAGUUUAGAAAAUAAAAUGUCUUUCAUACUAUUUCUCAUGUUUAGGUAACAUGAAAAAAACAAUAGUUUUUUUUUUUUUUUUCAUUUUGCUUUUGUUUUUCCUCUUUUGGCAUUCAUUGGUGACUAGUUAUAUACACAUAGUAUAAUUUUUAAAAGGAUUUCUUUUAAUUUUUUUUUCCAAAAUAAUAUUUGAGGAACCUUGAUUAUACCCUUUUAUUAUAUUUUCUUGAGAAUAAAAAAAAAGAAUCUUUUACGCAUGUUAUUCAUGCUAUAUAUGAUAAUUUAAUUAAAUUUUAGUUACAACUUUGAGGGGCUUGAAGCCCACAAAAUCCAUUUAAUAAUGUUUUUUUUUUCAAAAUAUUUAUAUAGCUAGAGGUGCCAAAUAUAACAAGAAGAGAUCGAUGGAUAUGAAUACAGAAAUGAUUAAAAAAAGUAUACAAUAGUUUUCCUUUCUAUGUGUUUACUUUCUAAUUUGGUAGCUCUUUGUACUCUCAUAAAAACUUUUAUAAAUCUUUGUGUCAAAAUUGUAUGAAGAUAAUCCAUAUACAUGUGUGUAUUAUAUAUCACUCAAUGAUAGUUGGUUUCAAAUGGAAAAAGCAAAUAUUGCCUUCUAACUUUAUUAUUAUCGUAAUGUGAUAUUUCAUCUUCCAAUUUUAUUUUCAUCCUUGGCAUUUAAUACUAUGCUAUUUAUAAUACUUUCUCUUCUUUUUUAAAACAUUGUUGUUAUUUGAAUUUCCAAAUCCUCCUUAUUUGUUAUCAAAUUAUUCAAAAUAUGAUAUUUGAUUUAUGAAAUAGAUGCUUGUAAAAUUUAUGUCAAAUGAUAAUAUUUUUUAAGAAAAAAAAUAUUAUUUCCUUUUCUUUAAUAUUUAUCCUUUUGUCAUUACUACAAAGUGCAAUUAUCUUCAUCAUCUCUGAAAGUUUGAAUUCCAUAUGCAGUCAAUGUGGUAAAUAGAUGAUCAGUGAAAUUUCUGCGAGUAUCGCCGCCACCUCGAAAACUCAACACGUCAUAAUUACGAGAAUUAGAAGUAGUAGAAGAAGAGGCUCUAUGGAUGAUAGAAGAAGCCAUUUUUGGAUGACUUGAACCAAAAUUACAAGGGAGUUUGGAAUCCAAGAAAAUCAGAGAGAGGGUCCCACAUCGGUCAGCACAGAACUUAAAAACCUGCUCACAGACCCUUUGGCAGGUAGCAGUGUUUAACUGCGUGUGGUUGGCUGGGCCAUAGCUCACGUAAAAGUUUUCGAAAGGGCAAUUUAUCUCUUUGCAGAGAUAUCCACCUACUGCACCCUGGUUGCAAACUUUGCAACCCAUGGUUUAGUUUGAAAUAUCCGUACAUAUGUAUUUGGAUUUGACCGAUAUAUGGGUUAUUAAGGAAUAUAAAUUAUUUAAAAUUCAUAAAAAUAUUUAAAAACUAGAAUAUAUGGUAUUAAUAAUUUAUUAUUUAUGUUAUUAAAUUAAUUUUAAUUUAUAAAAUAUUAUAACUUCUUUAUUUUUUAUUUUAGUAAUUUUUAAAUAAAUUUAUACUUCUAAUAUUUAAAAUUUUAAAAUAUAAAUAUAAAAAAUUUAAAAGUAAAAUGAUAAUAAUUUUUAAAAAUAAAAUUAAUGAAAUAAAUGAUGAUACAUUUAAUAUUAAAAUUAUAAUUUAUUUAAUUUAAAUACAUUCAAUAAUGUAAAAUAAAUAUUGAUGCAUAUAUGAUUUUUUACAUAUUUAUAAUUUUUAUAUUUAAUUAUCACAUAAAUGAUAUAAAAAAAAGACUUAUUUUAAAAAUUAUAAUAAUGGUUUUUAUACUUUUCUUAAUUAAUUAAAAAAAUUAAAUAAAAUAAUUUGAGUUAAUUUAUUUAUUGUGAAUGCAUAUUAAUAAACAUUAAUUUGACCCAGUUGUAGCUGGACUAACAUCCAAGCCUUUUGCUUGGGUUCGAAUCCCUUUGGCAUCUUUUGGUGUGGAAUACUUUCAUCUAUGUAUGAUAUUCUUCUAUAUAAGAUUUUCUUGAAAAGUUUUUAAUUUCUUGUUUUCCUUACUUUUCCAACUAUUUAAUUCGUUUUAAAUACACCUUUGAGUCACUUCAAGGCAGCAAUAAUCCACCUCAUGAUUUUUACUUUUUGGCUUUAUAAUAUGUGUAUGGCCCAGAGACGGCAAGCAUGAUAAUGAGAAAUCUCAGAGUUGUUUUUUUUGGUAAUUGAUUAUUUACUUUGCCUUUCAUUUUCAUGUUUUACUUCUAAUAUAUCUGACAUUUUAGUUUGCUAUUCCCCUUGGACUUUGAUAUGUAGUUAAUUUUUAUAAUUAUUGGUAGGAAAUUUUCUAUGACCAUCAAGAAAUUUAAAUGUUACCCGGAUAUAGAAGUAGGCUAUUUCCAAAAGGUCAAUAGACCUCAAUGUCCUUUCACAUUGAAAGAUAACGAAAUUUACAUUAAAAAAAAGCCAUCAAGUCUUCCAUAUGAAGUUUUAUUUUCAACUUUUUUUUUUCCCUUGAGCAUUAUCUAUCUAUCUAUAUCAUAUAUACACCCAUUUCUACAACUUUUUCUUUUUGCCUAACUUUCAUUUUUUUACUUUUAUUUUAUUUUCAUUUAGUAAUAUGGGUCCAUUUGACAUUCAUUUCAAAACCUCCUUUUUUUUGUUCUCAAAUUAUUCAAAUGAUUUGCAUAUAAUUACUCAAAUUAUAUGACAUUUAUAAGGAAUUUUUUAAAUAGAUGCUUGUAAAAAUUAUAUCAAUUUAUAAUACUUUUAUUCUAAAAAAAAUAUCAACUCCUUUUAUUUAUCCUUUAAUCAUUAUUGCAAAUGAUAAAAUUGAAAUAAGUGCAUUUAUGCUUUAUUUCAUACUAAUAAGAAUUUCAAAAUAUCUUCACCUCAAGAUAUUAAAGUGUAGGUAAGAAAAUAGAUGGAUAAAAAGUGUGACAUAUAACUUUUCUUCUUUUUCCUUUUCCCAUUUGGAAGGUGUUUUGUAGUUGAAGUAAAAAAAUAUCAAGUGGCAUAACAAAAAUGUGGGAUCCGCAAAAAGAGUCAAAUUAAAGAUGACUAUCUUUUGCGUUUUGUUUUUUGCUUUUCUCCUUUCAACAUUCAAUAACCACUCUUCUCUUUUAGUAGUUGUCUUGAACUUUGAUGACAAUUGCGUAAAGGAAAAUUGCAUGAAAAUAUUUCAUAUCAUUUCUAUUAUUUCUCAUGUUUAGGUAACAUGAAAAAAAGUAAUAUAUCUUUUUUUUCAUUUUUCUUUUGGAUUUCUUUAACCUUUUUUUUUCCCAAAAUAAUAUUUGAGGAACCUUGAUUACACCCUUUUAUUAUAUUUUCUUCAGAAAAAAAAAAAAAAUCUUUUAUACAUAUUGAUAUUAUCAUGGUUUUAAAAAUCGGACCGGAUCAGUUGGACCACCGACCAAUCAUGGUUCUAGUUCAAUCCGAUCAAUUGGGUUGAAAAAUGGUUGGACUAGAAUUAGGCCGAUUAAACCGAUAAUCUAAUCGACAAAUCAAAUGAAUCAGAUGAUUCUCUCUAAAUAGUCUGAUUCAACCUUCUUUUUUUUUCCAGUGUCGUUGUCCCCCGCCAAUAAGACACCCGCCCCCCUCCCCCCCCCCCCUCUCUCGCUGUCCCUGUUGGCAAAACCCUCACCCUCCUACAAAGCCACCUACGCUGGAAAAGCUCUUCUCCUUUUUGCCCGUCCAUUUCCUCCCUUCUUCCUAAUAUUUUUUUUAAUUAUUUUUUACGUCAUCUCAUUAUUAUUUAUUUUCUUUUAUAUUUAUUAUUUUUUUACUUCAUGAUGUUUAAAACUUAUGAUUUUAAUUUAAAUUAAUAAAAACAUUACAAUUUUAAAUAAAUUAAGAUUUUAAAAUAAGUUUUUUUAUUUAAAAAUGAAUAUUAAAAUUUUAAAUUUAAAUUAUGAUUUUAAUUUAAAUUUCUAAUAUGAAACUUAUUUUUUGAUUUUCAAAUAAAAUUUUAAUUUUUAAAUAAUAUAUAAAAAUUUUUAUUUUUAUAAUUAUUUUAAAUUUUAAUAAUUUAUUAAUUAUGUAUUUAUGACAUCAUUGGUUCGACCGCAGUCCGAUCAUUGAACGGUGAACUCAUAACUUUUUCGGUUCAGUGACCGAUCCAGUUCUAAAAACAUUGCAUAUUAUACAUGAUAAUUUAAUUAAAUUUUAGUUACAACUUUGAGCCGCUUGAAGCCCACAAAAUCCAUUUAAUAAUGUUUUUUUUUCAAAAUAUUUAUAUAGCUAGAGAUGCAAUAUAACAAUAAGACAUCAAUGUGAUAUUUCAUCUUCCAAAUCUCUUUUAUCCCUUGGCAUUUAAUACUAUGCUAUUUAUAAUACUCUCUUUUUCUUCAUUGUUGUUAUUUGAAUUUCCAAAUCCUCCUUAUUUGUUCUCAAAUUAUUCAAAAGAUGAUAUUGAAUUUAUGAAAUAGAUGCUUGUCAAAUUUCAGUCAAAUGAUAAUAAUUUUGAAGAAAAAAUACUAUCUCCUUUUCUUUAAUAUUUAUCCUUUUGUUGUUACUACAAAGUAAGUGCAAUUAUGCUUCAUUUGAUGAUUAAUGAAGAAAAAUUACCUUUUUUCUUUAUUAAAUAUUUAUCCUUUAAUUAGUUUUGCAAAGUUAAAUUAGAGUUUCAUGAAUGCCUUUUCUACUACAAUUAUGAAAUUCAAAAUUUAUUGACUUGGUACAUUGAAAUCUCUCAAAGAAAUUAAGAUUGCAAUUGAGAAAGCAAUCUUUUAACUAACUCCUUCAUGAAGAACUUAUCAUAAAUAACUAUAGUGGAAAAGAAAAGUAUCAUGAUUGAAAUUCAAAAUAAUAUUUGUAACUUAAAGAUUUCUUUGAGCAUUAAAGUUUAGUGCUAUAUUAUAAUAGCAACUAAAAAGAUAUUUUUUUGCUCAUUUGUCCCAUUUAUUCUUUUGAAAGUGUGAAAAGAAAAUUACUAGUUGUACAAUUAAAGGAAAGAAAAAACUUUAAUCUUGAUAAGUGAGAAGAAAGAACAAAAUUUCUAUAAGAUUUUCAUGAAAUUUAUGUGAAAAAAAGAUAAUGCAUAAAAAUAAAUCAAAUCUGAAAUUCUAUGCAUACUUUAAAUUUAUACAAUUGGAUUGAUUGACAAUGUUGUCCUUGUCCUUCAUCAAAGCACAACCUCCUUUGUACACUUAUUGUACGAAUUCACACACCCACCCAUGUAAAUAUUAUCCGUUCUAAGUCUAGAAAGGGUCUCAUGGUUUUAAAAUGUGUCCAUAAAACUAAAAAAAAAACUCAUACAUAUUGUUAGGAAUUUGAGGCUAAUACAACCUAUGGUAUUCACCCUAAGGAGGGGGGGGGGGGGGGGGGGGUGAAUAAAAUUUAAACAAGUGAAUGCAAGAGAUAAUUAUAUGCAAGUAUAUAAUAAUCAAUAUAUAGACAAUUGCAUAUAUAUUAAAGAGUAGGGAAGAGAGAAUGCAAGCACAAGAGUUUAUAGUGCUUCGGCGCAACCCGGCCUACAUCCUCUCUCCUCUAGCUUCAAUCCUGAGCUUGAGGUUCCACUAAUCCAAGGCUUCCAAACUAAGCCUUUAAGUAAUACAAUUGGAUUAUGGUUCCAAUUCACCCUCUUGGACUUUUGGCUCCAAGCACCCUUUACACUUCUCAAGAGAUAUCCCACUCUUGAACAACCCCUCAAGUGAUACCCCACACUUGAAAAACUUCCUCUCAAAGAUUUACAAAUGAAUGAUCUCUCAAAAAUCCUAGCACAAGAACUUUAAGCUCAAAUGAUACAAGAAAAACUAGGAUUGAAUGGUGCACUAAAGAUAUGCAAGUUUUNNNNNNNNNNNNNNNNNNNNNNNNNNNNNNNNNNNNNNNNNNNNNNNNNNNNNNNNNNNNNNNNNNNNNNNNNNNNNNNNNNNNNNNNNNNNNNNNNNNNCCCUUUUUUUUAUGAUUUCCCCCCCCCCCCCAUUUAAUUUUUUCCCUUUUUUUUUCUAAAAAGGUUUCCUUGUUUUUAAAUUGUUUCCUUAAAACUAAAAAAAAACCCCUUAUUUUUUUUUGGAAUUUUGGGGUUUAUCCANCUUUUGGUUUUCCCCUUAGGGGGGGGGGGGGGGGGGGGGGGGUGAAUAAAAUUUAAACAAGUGAAUGCAAGAGAUAAUUAUAUGCAAGUAUAUAAUAAUCAAUAUAUAGACAAUUGCAUAUAUAUUAAAGAGUAGGGAAGAGAGAAUGCAAGCACAAGAGUUUAUAGUGCUUCGGCGCAACCCGGCCUACAUCCUCUCUCCUCUAGCUUCAAUCCUGAGCUUGAGGUUCCACUAAUCCAAGGCUUCCAAACUAAGCCUUUAAGUAAUACAAUUGGAUUAUGGUUCCAAUUCACCCUCUUGGACUUUUGGCUCCAAGCACCCUUUACACUUCUCAAGAGAUAUCCCACUCUUGAACAACCCCUCAAGUGAUACCCCACACUUGAAAAACUUCCUCUCAAAGAUUUACAAAUGAAUGAUCUCUCAAAAAUCCUAGCACAAGAACUUUAAGCUCAAAUGAUACAAGAAAAACUAGGAUUGAAUGGUGCACUAAAGAUAUGCAAGUUUUGAAAUAAUGGUGCACUAAAAAAAUACUCUUCCGAGGCUCAAAUAUAAUUAAGAAAGAUUUGGGAAUGUUAAGCUCCUUAAACAAUGAAGUUUGGAGCCUUUUUAUAGAAGAGAAAAACCAAACUAGCCGUUUGGGGUUUGACCGGUCGAGCUAGGGGUCGACCGAUUGACUAGCCAUUAGCAUUUAAUGUUUGACAAGUGACCGUUGGGCCUUAACCGGACCUCAACCGGACCUCGACUGGACCUCAACCGGUUGAGGUUCAACCUUGACCGGCAAAAGAAGGCCAUUAAGAGAGAGAGAAACUUUUUGGCCUCCCUCAACCGAUCCUCGAUCGGACGAGCACAACCGGUCGACCGGUUGAACAGGUUGAACCAUUUUUUGGCUCAACACCCAACCUUUUUCGACUUAAAACCUUUUAACACAAGUUUGAAAAUCAUUUAACACAAGGUUUUAGUUGAAAACAUGAAAUCAUCAAAUUCUUAAGAUAUUUAAAAUAAUAUUACUCUUGGAUGAUUUUGGUGCAUAAAUAAAUAAUGAAAUGCAUGAAAGUCCUAAUGUACCAACAACCUUACAAAGAGAUCUUAUGAAGCUUUGAUCUUGAAAAACUCUUCUCUUUGAGGUGGUCUCUUCUUCAUGAUUUCUCCUUGGCUUGAUUUGUCUUUGUGAUUGCCACUUUGGAAAUUGUUUUGCCUAAUCAUACUUGAAAUAUGAUCAUUAGUUCUAAACCUUGUUUUUUUAUCAUCAAAAUCAAGAUUAACCAAACCUUGGUUUCACACAUAUAUAUAUAGGCCUAAUAAUUUUAUCUCAUAUCCGAUGUGUGAUAUCACAAACACUUUCAUCCAAACAUAACAUCCUUGUUGUAUCUCAUAGAAUUGUGGAACCAAACAGACAAACAUCAUCAACGAGACAAAAAAACCUCCACAUCGGGUCAUAGCUUAGUUCUAAUGCCAUUUAUAAUGACUUGCACCCAACCAUGUAAAUGCAUUUUAAAGUCGUGAUGACCCCUUUAAACCCAGAGUGGAUAAUAUCUAUAUGAUUGAAAGUGAGUUGUUACACUUGUAGUUUAAUUGAUUUAAUUCGUUUGACAUUUUUAAUUUUUACAUUUUUUUGUUGCUUUGGUAUUCCUCGUCACCACUUUGCUUUUGCAUUUAAGGAGCAUCAUUUUUCAAUAUUUUUUCUUUUUUAAUUAAUUUUGUUAUUAUUGUUUGGCUUUUCACUCGCAUGUUUAUAAGAAUAAUACGAAGAUACUCUUUUAUGUAUAAUUGAUUUUAUAAACUAUGACUAAACUCAAGUAGUUAUAUAUCAAAUAGUAAGACUCUAUUUCUUAUCAUCUAAAUCAAAAUUUGAAGUUAUCCAAUUAGAGACAUUUCUAUGAAAGAGGAAUAUCAACAACUUUUUUUUUAAAGAAAGGCAUAAAAAUUAGAAAAUUGGAUGGAUGAAAGUUUUUUUUUUUCCUUUAAAAGUACUCGUAGUUAAGGUAAAAAAAAAAUCAAGUGCUAUAGCAAAAACAUAGAAUUUGCAAAAAGAACUUAAAAUAUAUUCAUUAUGUAAAUUGUCUACAUAUCUUCAAAUAAUAAUAUUAUGGGUUUUUUUAUUAUACUUAUUAACAUAAAUUUUAAAUUGCACAAACACCAAAAGGAAUUGAAAGCAAGAAAAUUAAAUGUAGAAAACGUAUUAAAUUAAUUACUCAAUAACCUAUAUUAGAAUAAUUUGAAUAAGCAACCCAUUUCUACAAGAGAAAAUUUGAAGUUUUUAGGAAUAUCAAAAGUAUAUAAUAACAACAUAUUAAAGAUUCAUUCCAAAUUUCUCCCAUGACAUCAUUUCAAUUCAUGGGAAAUUCAUAAUCAAUUUAGAAUAAUUUUAUAUGAAAUUUUAAUAUUUUAAAUUAAAUAAUGUUUUUCUACAUCUUUGUAGCCAGCAAUGACAUGAAGUUAGUGGCACUUCCCCCCUCUCUAAAAUACUUCUUUCUUGUCUCUUUUUGAAAGGCUUGGAUGAUUUACUGUCGUGAUAAUGAAAAUUGAUAGAAACUUAUAAAAAUAUUAAGAAAAAAACUUCAAAAUAUGACAUGAUAAAAAUACUUUGAAAAAUAUAAUACAUAUAAUAUUUUUUGUGAUAGUAUAUAGAAUUUAAAAACAUAUUAUUAUUAAAAUUAUAAUAUAUUUAAUUUGAUUAUAUAAAAAAAUAUAAAAUAAGUGAUACUAUAUGUAUAAAUAUUUUUAUUUAAAAAUAUUGAUAAUUUUAUUUUAUUUUUAUUUAAUUAUUAUACAAAAGAUACUAAUAUAAUUAAAAUUGAUUUUUAAUUUACAAUAUAUUUAUCUAUAUAUUUGUAUUAUAUAUAGACGUGUAAUAUAACCAAAGUAGUAGCUUUGGUCUAAUUAACGGUCGCACCAUUCACCCGUAAGCAUUGGGUCAUGGGUUCGAUUCAACAACCAAUCUUGUUGCUUCUAGUGGUUUUCUUAAGCUUUGAUGACAAUAUGCCAAAGCCUUAUUAGAAAUUUGCUUGAAGAAAAGCUACCAUCCGAAGUUUAAUGAUCCAAAGGUCAAUGAGCCAGGAAAAUUUACGUGAAUUUCACAUCAUUUCUUAAAAUUUAAUCUUGCUAAGAAAUUGGUUUGAAGGCAUGCUACUACCAAAGUUUAAUAAACCAAGAAAAAUGGAAGACAUUUCACAUUAUUUCUCGAAAUUUGGAUCCUGGUAGAAAAUUUCUAUCAAGAUAGGCCAAAAACAAAAUUGAAUAAACCAAGGAAAUUAGCAUGAUGACAUUUCACACUAUUUAGUUACAUGAUUGUUGGGUAUUACCUAAAAUUCGAAAGACCAAAGAAAAUUUCCUCUCUAUAGUUGGCUUUAUGUAGAAAAAGCAAUCCUUGGCAUUGUAUGUGUGUUAGUUUUUAUGAUAAAUUAGUGUCACAAAAUGGUUGAUGCUUCAAAAGUAAUAACUUAGUUGACAAAUACAAUGCCAUAAUUUUAUAUUUUUGCUCAUUUGAUGUAUGUGGGAACAAAAACUAACAUGGAUCUUAAGGUAUUCCAAAACAAAAUACUUGAAAUUGAAAUAUUCUUUCCCACCUAAUUUGAUUGCUCAUUCUAGGUUGGAGAUUCUAUCUCUUUACACAGAAUUAUGCAUAGUGCAAGAGUGUGAGUUUAAAUUGGCAUCACUUUAAUCAAAAUCUAAGACUGGGUUGAAGUAUUUGACUUGCCUUGAUUAAUAAGGACAUCCAUGGCUUAACUGAUGGAGGUUGGUAUGUACUAACUUAUCCAACAAAAUGUUUAAUCUGCAAAAAAAUUAACAACAAUCAAGCUUGUUCUAGAAAUGCCGAAAAACGAGUCCCAAUAAAAAUGGGUUUUGAAAAACAAAAAUUCAGUAAAAGGAAUUUCAGCCCCUUGGAAUCAGCAAGGCAUAUAUAAUAGAAACUAAGAAAAGGAGGGUGGCUUAAUUACCAAAAAGUUGAGAUAAAUGUUUGGUCAACAUCAACAAUUCUCUUACUUGAAAUUAGUGUCUUGUACAGCAUAUCCAAUGAACAAAUUUGCAAAGAAGCUCCAGCCAUCUAUGCAUAUGGUCCAUUUCAUGGUCUUGGGCAUCAACACCAUUACCAUCAAUAUUCAGGGUGGUGCCAUCACAGCUUCUCUCCACAUCAGUAUUAGUAUCUUCUACUGCUGAACUGGUGUCACAGCUUCUACGUUGUACAAUUGUGAGAUUGUUCUGUUCAUAAUCGUGGGCAUAUAGAAAGUGGAAGCCACACCUCGCCACUUUCACUGGUUUAACACCAAAGUAGACAUUAAAUGAAGCGUUCAAGGUUCUCCAUUCAUUUGAGUGAUAUCCCUCGGGAAUAUUUGACUUAGGAUAAUAUAUCAAGCACCCUUGACUUGAUGCAUCUUCAUCAUAGCAGAAUUCACAAAAUUGAUGAGAGUGACAGGAAAAAUAUGCACUGUCAUCAUCGAAAUUCAAUUUACAGUUGAAAUCCCUAUGUGGUGUGGUCUCAAUCUCAAGUGGAACAUAAAGAGAGCACAGAACAAAGCCCAAGAAGUCAUCAUUUUCAUACCAACUCCAGGGAAGUUUCAUUGUUAUUUUGAACCCGCUUUUCUGAUGGCAUAUCCACUCCGGAAUCCCAUUUCUUUCAGCAAUAAAAGUUCUGACAGGUCUUCUAAAGUCACGCGCCUGCACAAAAAUUACCCUCUGAAUUUUGUGUCCCCGUGAAAAGAAAGGUUAACUGAUAUAUGAAAACCAUACCUGAAUUUUGGAUUUAAAACAUUUGAAUAAAGAAGACCAGAGUAGAUUUGAUGGACUGGAUAAAUUUUCCAGGGAUGUGCAGUGAUGGACAUCUAGAUUAAUUAAACCUGAUGGAAGCUCUGGAAUUUGUUCAAGAUUGUUGCAGUGACUAAGGUUAAGGGCUUUCAGCCUGGAAAGCUGAUUGAUGGUAGGAGGUAUGCUACUAAAAUGGCCCCCUUCCAGAUUUAGUUUCUUUAAUGAUGAUAAAUAGCAAAUAUGACUAGGGAUUUGGUGGAGCUUUGAACACUCUUGAAGUAGGAGAG